rnacentral:lncRNA from 1 species
ACUGGUCAGUAAAGCAAACUACACAAGUACGCAAAGCUGCUCGGAGCGUGUGACUAACCUUCUCGCUGCCGGUACUGGUCGGCCAAGCGACGAGUGAGGUCGAGACGACGCUCCUCUUGGGCGCUCAUCUCGGCCACCUUCUCCCCGACUUCCGACCGCAGCCGGUCUACCUCCGCGGCCAGGGCCUUGUUCUCGGCCACGACGCCUUCUAUCUGGUCAAAGCACCGUAUCCGGUACUUUGCCGUUUUCAUUGCGCCCUAGAAAGCAAACAUAUAACGACCAUGCAAGACAAGGCAUAGAAUGUACAGCAGUACAAAAAGUCGCUUACCUUGACUUCGUCGACGAGGCGCUUGGCCGCGCGCUCCACCCUGGCGGCCUCCUCGGUCUCGGCGAGCUCUUCAUGCCCGAUAAAGUGAUCCCCGCGUUGGCGCCACACAUACACGUGUUGGCGGCCAUCACGGGGACGACCCUCAAUCUCCUCCACCUCAUCCUCGGAGGCCGCCUGAGCUUCCUCCUCCCGCGCUGCGUUGCUUCCGGUAGCGGUCCCAGGCAUUACUGGUCCCCGGACCAGACCUGGGGAGCCUGCAGUCGAAGCGGCCCCUGCUCGGGGCGGUGUGGAGACUUCACCCUCCCCGGCGGGAGGAGGGGUCGGGGCCCUUCCCUCCCUUUCCAUGGUGCUGGCUGGGGGAGGCGUCCCCAUAGCCUCCUCAACCCUGGUCAGGCUGCUCAACGUAGCCGGUGCCGCGGCCGGGGACUCCUCGGCGCUCUCAGGCACGGCUGCAGCCGUAGGCUGCUCUGCGGUCUGCGGGGCCGCGUCUUCAGCAGCGCAAACCGGCUCACUCGUCCCCUGGCCAGCGGCAUGGCCAGGGUUGACAUCUGUCGAGGGUACCCUCACCAAUGCGUAUAACGAAACCGUCCGUACACACGGGCGACCAUCGACGGCCGCAGCCUCGAAGACGGAAAUACCGUCGAGCGAGUCGACCAGGGCUUGAGCAGCAACUGCCGUCGAAUACGGAGGAGGGCUCGAGCGAAUCGAAGGGCGUCGAGCGCAAGGACACUGUCCGCCGCCUGACGCGCGCACGCGGGUCGGAGCAUUUAAUGCACCUGACGCUUCCCCACCUAACACAUGGGCCACGGGAGGCUUCCGUCCCAUCGUUCUUUUUGCAGCCUUCUCACCGAAUAACCCAGGGCGUGUCAGGACGCAGGAAACGAGGAUGGAACGUCUAAUCGGGACCCCCUCGAGACAUCUAAGGUCAGCGCUCCAGAUAUCAGCAUAUUACACGGCGUCCGACCCUCGACCGAACAGGGUCCCUUCCUAGGAACAAGUUGGGCGUCGACUGACAACAUCACUGUUACCCCACCGGAUCCACCGCCUUACCGUACAAGCAUGCAACCUCAGAACCAGCGCAAGGCGGCGGGCAGGGCAGAACGCAGGAGCACGCGUAAUCAUCACCGGGCUAUCAAGAUGGGACGGCUCGAGGCCAUGCCGUACGGAAGCCUCGAGUAGGUCAGCGCUCCAUGCGGCUAUCGACCCCUACUCUAGCGUCUACGCAUGUACCCUGGGUCUCUCCUUGGGGCUAUAAAAGGAGAGACUCAGGAAUAGAACGGGAGGACGAAAACAAGAACAACACAAGACCACACUCAUACGUAGAAGAGCUCCACACUUCAUACCACGCUUGUAUUCGCCCCUGUACAAGCACUUAGGUGCAAGAUAAUACAAACUCUCUCCCCCCGCUGGACGUAGGGCCUUCUCUUGCCCGAACCAGGAUAAAUCUCUGUGUCUUCUUGCAUCACCAUCCGGAAAAGGGAGCACGCAUACAAAUUUACUCGUUGGUGUGACCCCCCGGGGGAAAAACACCGACAGUUGGCACGCCAGGUAGGGGUCCUGCGUGUUUUUCAUCGAUUCCCCACUCCUUUCCGGAUGGCUACUCUUGCCUCGCCGUUUCCGCGCUCCACGGUGAUUUGGUUUGGGAGUCUCGAGUUCAUGUCUACGGGCUCCGGCUACGACAUGAUCUUGCUCUCAGUCAGAGGACCAGGAGGAGCCCGCGUUACGCCAGCACGGUUGAAGGCCCCGAGACGCCCUCAUCACCACGCCUCCCCGCCUAAGAAGAGGCACGGACGGCACCACCGCGGCCCCCCCGCUUCAGCACGACCAACAACUCGUGCGAGGCAGGACAUGAGCCACGAGUCGGCAGCACCGUGUGACGGAGCAACAAGUGCGACGACUCAGCACCGCGCGACGACGGGAGGGGACGCGUCUCGCGCCCUCUCCCUCACCGCAGCUAGGCUACUUCCACACGGGUUGUUCUCUCCAAGGGCGGCACUGCCGUUCGGAAUGGACAACGCCGCGGCGUCGCUCGCCAGGACGAUAUGCCCAAACGCCCAGACGUACGUGGAAAGACCCAUGGUCCUCCCACAUAGCUCUGAAGCGCGGCGGCCGGCGUCCGAGCUGCCGGACCUUUCCCAAGUACGAGGCCUCCGUCGUCUAGGCCCCGGACGAUACUCGAUCACCUCCCUCAGGCAACGAUUGCUGGAGGAAGGACGUGGGUGUUUCUACGCCGCCGAACCGGACUCCGACUCCGAGACAGACAGCUAUGACCCUACGAGGGAAUGCUAUCACAUCGACGGGGCGGCAGAAACCACCGACGAGACACGGGAUGCUGCAGCGGGUGGUCGAGCCCCCGCGGUGCAAGAAGACCCCAGGACGCCUGGGAACGACGGACGGCUCGACCCUCUUCCUCAGGAAGAUAGAACCGCGCAGCUCGCGCAGCUGCCGGAGCUCAAGAUGAAGCUCGAUGAAGACCGUGAGCGCCUCGUCCUGCUCGAGCAAAUCCUCGAACAAGACCUGCCCUACCCGCCGGGCGGAAGUGUCCGCAGACGCGCUCGAGAGGUACAUCGACAGAUCGUCGGCGACGCAGAGGCGGAGCAACCUGUCAGCCGUUUCCCUCGAGCAGGCCAGAAUGUAGUGGCAGCGACGAUGCUGCUACGUAACAUGCCAGAGCCGUCGAAUUCCCAGGCCCGACGCAUUCGAGAUGAAGUACAGACAUUGCUCCAGGUGGCAGCGGUUCAACAAGCCGAAAGUUCGGCGUCUCGACGACGAGGAGCUGCCACAGAGAAGCGCGACGAACAGCCACUAAACGAAGAGGAGGUGUCAGUCCAUCAACAACCUCCCCCUCGAGGUAGAAAGACCGCACUCAUCCUCCCUGCCGACAAUCAACGUCGACACGACGCGCGGCACGACAUCAAAGAAAAUAGGCGCCGCCGGCACGGAGACGCGGAAGAGCAUGGUUAUAGCGCGCAUCGCGGCGGAAGAUACGACAGCGACGAGGACCGGGUGGCCCCUGAGCCACCAGGCCCACGGGUGUUCAGCAGGGCGAUCCGCAGCACGCCCCUGCCCAAUCCGUUUCGACCCCCGACCAGCAUCGCAAAGUACAACGGAGAGACCAAGCCAGAGUUAUGGCUGGCCGAUUUCAGGUUGGCCUGUCAGCUAGGUGGCGCUCGAGGCGAUGACCGAGCCAUCAUCAGACAGCUACCCCUUUUUCUCUCCGACACCGCCCGUCGAUGGCUCGAGGAACUCCCUGCCAAUCAGAUCCACAACUGGGUUGAUCUGGUCAGAGUCUUCGAGGGUAACUUCAAAGGGACCUACAUACGGCCAGGGAACUCGUGGGACCUAAGCAAGUGCAAGCAGAAGUCGGGAGAAACUCUUCGGGAGUAUGCCCGACGCUUCUCGAAACAGCGCACCGAGCUGCCGCACAUCCCUGACCACGACGUCAUCUUGGCGUUUGUCUCGGGCACCACCAGUCGAGACUUGGUGCGGGAAUUAGGUCGCAAUCGACCUCAGACCGUCGACGAGCUGAUGGACAUAGUAGCCAACUACGCGGCAGGGGAGGAGGUAGUCGGCGCCUUCUUCAGCUUAGAGGGAAGAAAAGGCAAGCAGCCCAUCGACGAAGAUGGGACCCCCAGUCGGGGCCUCAAGAAAAAUAAAAAGAAGCAGAAAGUGCGGCAGUUCCAUCGGGAAGAUUCCGACGACAACCUUGUCGCCGCCAUGGAUCGAAAGAAGCCUCGAGGCCCUCCGGAUGGAGGCAUCUUCGACAAAAUGUUGGAAGAGCCGUGCCCUUACCAUAAGGGAGGCGCCAACCACAAGCUCAAGGAUUGUCGUAUGCUAAGAAGGCAUUUUGACAGUCCGGGGUUCAAAAAAGAUACGCGUGAUGACUCCAAGAAAGAGAAGGCUGGCGGCCAGGAGGACAACAAAGGUGACAACGGCUUCCCCGCCGUCCACGACUGCUACAUGAUCUACGGCGGGCCCUCGACUCAAUUGACCACGAGGCAGCGCAAAAGGGAGCGUCGCGAAGUCUUUGCAGCAAGAAUGGUGGUGCCCCAAUACCUUAGCUGGUCAAGCACCCCUAUCACUUUCAACCGAGAGGACCACCCCGACAAGGUAGUCGCCCCGGGCGUCUACCCGCUUGUCGUCGACCCCAUCAUCAUCAACACCCGACUCUCGAAAGUGCUGAUGGAUGGUGGCAGCAGCCUCAACAUCAUCUACCUCGAGACCCUCGACCUCCUCGGCAUCGAUAGAGGACGCCUACAGCCGAGCGCCGGCGGUUUCCACGGCGUCGUGCCAGGGAAAAAGGCACUGCCAGUAGGUCGAAUUGACCUACCGGUCUGCUUCGGCACGGCGGCCAACUUCAGGAAGGAGACCCUCACCUUUGAGGCGGUUGGGUUCCGAGGCACGUACCACGCCAUCAUCGGGCGCCCGGGCUACGCCAAGUUCAUGGCUAUACCCAACUACACCUACUUGAAGCUGAAGAUGCCCGGUCCCAAAGGCGUCAUCACUGUCAGUUCCUCCUUCGAGCAUGCCUACGAGUGCGAUGUCGAGUGCGUCGAGUACGGGGAAGCAGUCGAGAGCUCCACCGAGAUCAUCACGAAGCUCGAGGCCCUGGCCGCAGAGGCUCCAGAGCCUAAGCACCACGCGGGCAGCUUCGAGGCGGCGGAAGGAACCAAGAAGAUCCCGCUCGACCCCAACAACUCCGACGGGAAGGUGCUGACGAUCAGCGCUGACCUCGACCCCAAAUAGGAAGCCGUGCUCGUCGACUUUCUCCGUGCAAAUGCUGAUAUGUUUGCAUGGAGUCCCUCGGACAUGCCAGGCAUACCGAGGGAAGUCGCCGAGCACUCCUUGGAGAUUCGAGCCGGUUCCAAGCCAGUGAAGCAGCGGUUGCGCCGAUUCGACGAGGAAAAGCGCAAGAACAUCGGCGAGGAAGUCCACAAGCUUUUGACGGCCGGAUUCAUCAAGGAGGUUCAUCAUCCUGACUGGUUAGCGAACCCUGUAUUAGUUAAGAAAAAGAAUGGGAAAAUGAGGAUGUGUGUCGAUUAUACUAGUUUGAAUAAAGCAUGUCCAAAAGUUCCCUUUCCAUUGCCACGCAUUGAUCAGAUUGUCGAUUCUACCGCGGGAUGUGAAACCCUUUCUUUCCUUGAUGCAUAUUCCGGUUACCAUCAAAUAAAAAUGAAGGAGUCCGACCAGCUCGCGACCUCUUUCGUCACGCCUUUUGGGAUGUAUUGCUACGUGACCAUGCCAUUCGGGCUUCGAAACGCCGGAGCCACGUAUCAACGUUGCAUGCUCCACGUAUUCGGCAAACACAUAGGGUCGACGGUCGAAGCCUACGUCGACGACAUUGUCGUCAAGUCAAAGCGACGAGGAGACCUGAUCCAGGACCUCGAGAUUGCCUUUAGCUGUCUACGCAUCAGCCAGAUCAAGCUCAAUCCCGAGAAGUGCGUCUUCGGUGUACCUCGAGGCAUGCUCCUAGGCUACAUCAUUUCGCAGCGCGGCAUCGAGGCCAACCCCGAGAAAGUCUCGGCCAUCACGAGAAUGGGGCCGAUCCGAGACAUCAAGGGCGUACAGAGAGUCACGGGGUGCCUGGCGGCUUUGAGUCGUUUCAUCUCGAGACUAGGAGAAAAGGCAUUACCAUUGUAUCGACUCCUAAAGAAGGUCGAGCGCUUUUCUUGGACCCCCGAGGCCGAGGAAGCCCUCGAGAGGUUGAAAAAGACGCUGACCUCGGCACCAGUCCUGGUUCCACCUCAACCUGCAGAGCCGCUGCUCCUCUACGUCGCGUCGACGACCCAGGUCGUCAGCGCGGCGGUGGUGGUCGAAAGACAAGAGGAGGGUCAUGCGCUGCCAGUCCAAAGGCCAGUCUAUUUCGUCAGCGAGGUGCUUUCGGAGACCAAGGCGCGUUACCCCCAAAUCCAGAAGCUGAUCUACGCCGUAAUCCUUGCCCGCCGCAAACUGCAGCAUUACUUCCUUGGUCAUCCUAUCACGGUGGUCUCUUCUUUCCCCUUGGGCGAGAUAAUCCAGAGCAAGGAGGCCACGGGAAGAAUAGCUAAGUGGUCGGUCGAGCUCAUGAGCGAGACUCUCACUUACGCGCCUCGAAAGGCCAUCAAAUCGCAAGCCCUGGUAGACUUCGUCGCGGAAUGGACAGACUCCCAGCUUCCCCCGACUCAGGUCCAGGCGGAGCUAUGGACAAUGUAUUUCGACGGGUCACUCAUGAAAACUAGGGCCGGGGCCGGCCUGCUGUUCAUCUCACCCUUGGGCGUCCACAUGAGGUACGUAAUCAGGAUUCAUUUUGCCGCAUCUAACAAUGUCGCAGAAUAUGAGGCCCUCGUCAACGGUCUCAAGAUCGCUAUCGAGUUAGGAAUCCGACGCCUCGACGUCCGAGGUGACUCCCAACUCGUCAUCGACCAAGUAAUGAAAACCUCAAGCUGCCACGACCCAAAAAUGGAAGCAUACUGCAUGGAGGUCCGUCGACUCGAAGGCAGGUUCCACGGCCUCGAGCUUGUCCAUGUCGCUCGACGCUACAACGAGGCAGCCGACGAACUCGCCAAGAUCGCAUCGACUAGAGGCACGGUGCCGCCUGACGCAUUCUCAAAAGAUCUUCACGAGCCAUCCGUCGACCUAGGCACGGGAGCUGGCAUCGACGCCAUCGCCACCCAACCAACCAACGCUGUCGAUACGCUCUUGAUGGUGGAGAUAGAACGACGGCCAGGUUGACCAUUCGAUUGGCGUACACCGUUCCUCGACUGCCUUAGCCACGGCGAGUUACCAGAAGACAGGACAGAAGCCCGUCGUAUCGCUCGACGGGCUAAAUCAUAUGUGAUCUAUGGCGAAGACAACGAGCUAUAUCGACGGAGCCCGAUAGGGGUCUUACAACGUUGCAUCACCGUAGAGGAAGGCCGAAAACUCCUCGAUGACCUGCACUCGGGGGCUUGUGGCCACCACGCCGCCCCACGGACCCUUGUAGGAAACGCUUUUCGGCAAGGCUUUUACUGGCCAACGGCCGUGGCGGAUGCCAUCGAGCUCGUACGCUCGUGUCAUGGGUGCCAGUUCUACGCCAAGCAGACGCAUCUGCCCGCCCACGCUCUUCAGAUGAUCCCCAUCACCUGGCCGUUUGCGGUAUGGGGGCUCGAUUUAGUAGGACCUCUACAAAAGGCGAAAGGAGGGUACACCCAUUUGCUGGUGGCCAUUGACAAGUUCUCCAAAUGGAUCGAGGCUCGACCCAUCACCAACAUCCGCUCCGAGCAGGCCGUCCUUUUCUUCUCCGACAUCAUCCAUCGGUUCGGGAUCCCCAAUGUCAUCAUCACCGACAACGGCACUCAGUUCACCGGCAGAAAGUUCUUGGAUUUCUGCGAUCAGCAUCACAUCCGUGUGAACUGGUCCGCAGUAGCCCACCCUCGAACUAACGGCCAGGUCGAGCGUGCCAACGGCAUGAUUUUGCAAGGACUCAAGCCAAGGAUCUACAAUCGAUUGAAGAAAUUCGGCAAGAAAUGGGUCGAGGAGCUUUCCUCAGUCCUAUGGAGCCUUAGGACAACGCCAAGCAGGGCCACAAAAUACACCCCGUUCUUCAUGGUCUACGGCUCUGAAGCUAUCCUCCCCACAGACCUCGAGUAUGGGUCACCGCGACUCAAGGCUUACAACGAGCAAUCGAACAAAGAGACUCAAGAAAACGCGGUCGACCAACUCGAGGAGGCUCGAGGCAUGGCCCUCCUCAACUCUGCCAGAUAUCAGCAGAAACUCCGACGCUACCACGACAAGCACGUGCGCAAGAGGGACCUCAACGUAGGCGACCUUGUCCUACGACGCCGGCAAAGCAAUCAAGGACGCCACAAGCUGACUCCACCUUGGGAAGGCCCGUAUGUGGUGGCCGAGGUUCUUAAGCCAGGAACGUACAAACUGGCGGACGAAAAGGGGGCAAUCUUCACCAACGCAUGGAACAUCGAACAGCUACGUCGAUUCUACCCCUAGAAGUCCUAGACUUACGAUCCUACAUUUUGUACAAAGACUUUGUAAAUGAACGCAUGAAUAAAUAAAGUCUUUCCCUCGAGCGGUUUCUUUCUGUACCAGAAAUAGUUACGAGUCAUAGUCUCGACGUUAAAAGGGGAUGCCGACCAUGACCCAUCAUAGUCCGCACCCCCUCGGGGGCUACCAGAGGGACGACCCCUCCCCAAGCGUCGAAAAAGCCAAGAAAUUUUCCUUUCUUGCUUGGUAAACCUUGCACGGUUCGAGUAGCUAAGGCGCCUCGAUCCCCUCAAAGGCCGAGGGAUAAUGAGCCGGAGAACUCCCACGCCCCUGGGCUACGGAAACUCUACUCACUUCCUCACCCUUGAGGUAAUCGAGGUUGUUUUUGACGAAAGAGCGAGCAAGGGAUACAAACGUAGGAACAAAAAGAAACAAAGGAACCUCGAGCGGAAAGACAAAUAAGCAGUUAACAAUUACAAAAAGAUACUAUAUCACGUAACAGCAGAAUUAGUAAAGUAUCAUACAAGGGGCCUCAGGCGCCCUGAGCAGGCUCGCAGGCCUCAGUCCGCGGCACGAUCCUCACCGCCCUCGCCUCCGCCCGAGCUAGCCUCAAGAGGGAGCACCUCAGGCUCGAAGAGCUUGGCCAACCUUUCCCCAGGAGCCUCCGCGUCGUCGAUCAAGGCAUGGAGCCUCUCCUCGUUCUCCGCGUUGGUCUUGGAGAUGUCGGUGACGAAGCCAUGGGACACCACCUCCAUGUCGUAGGAAAAGCCCGAGCAGACAACCGCCAUCGCCCGCUUCACCCCGAUGUGGAGGGCGUCCCGCACCCGAUCUCGCAGCGUCACGCCUAUGUAGCACAACUGGUCGAUCAGGGCAUCACCUCGAGCGUCCUCCCAAGACUCAUCCAUAGGCUUGACCUCCCAAGAGGUCGAGAGAUCGCUUAUCGCCGUCCGCACUCGACGGUUCAAAGCAACCUCAGCCUCGAGCUGAGCCUUGGCGUUGCGAGCCUCGGCUUGGGCGGCCAGGAGUUCGUCCUUGAGCCCUGUAAAUGCCAAUACAAAGAAGCUUUAGGAAAAACUCAAGCAUACCUCGAAAAGGAAAUUCGACAAAGGAAAUAUACCUUUGAUGCUCUCCUCUAGGGCCGUGUUCUCGCUGACCAAUCUGGUGUUGGCACGCUCGAUCUCUCUGUUGGAGCGCGCCAGCUCAGUAUUGGCGACGUGGAGAUCUUCGAUCACCCUGCCAACCUGAGCGACGGCUCCACUCUUCUCCAGCAAUUCUCCCUUCAGACACUCGACGUCGUCAGAGAGACUGCGGGAUCGAGCUCGCUCCAUCUCGAGGUCUUCGAGGGCCUUCUUCUUUGUGUCCUCGGCGGCACCCCUGACGACCUCAUUAUCCACAUACGCCACUUUCAUCUUCUGGAAGGAAUCGCGGAGGGAGUCCAAGUCGGUUUGGAGAAGGCCCUUCUCCUUGUCCAGGUCCGCAAUGACGCUCUUGUAGGAUAGGGCUUCCUCCCGGGCUCUGGACGCGGCCUCCUCGACCGUAAGAGCCCGCUCCCGUAGCUGCAUCGCCUCCUCCUCCGCCUUCUUCGAGACCUCUCGGGCCUCGGCCAAAGCAGCCUCCCUCGCCUUCUUCUCCUCCUCGAGUGCUAUGAGAUCUUUGUAAGCUUUAAGCAGCUUUUCCUGCGACUCGAGGAGUUGAUCCUUGAGGAGGGGAAGCUGCUCCCAUCCACCCCUCGUGGCAUGUAUGAAGCUGGACUUGAUGCGAGAGGUCUCUUUCAUAUCCUGCGAAUCAGGGGUCGGAUGGAUUAGAAUACAGAAACCAGAAAGCACAAUAAAGAUUGGAGUUUGAGAAACACUUACAAAAUAAGCUGGCCCGAGCCCGUUGUUGAUGACGUCCGAUAGGAGCCCCACCACGUGUUUCAUCCAAAGGUGGAGCUCCUCGACAUGCUCCCACUUCUCGACCUCCUUCUUGUCGUCGAGGAAGACGUUGGGCUCGGACGGGUCGGUGGAAGCUCGGAUACGAAUCCGAUCGGGACACCAGUUCUCCAUCUCCCGAUCAGCCCGCGCCUUGACGCCGCGGAUAAAGUUCUCGACGGUCUCGAGGGAACCCCCGUGGCGUAAGAACAGGUCGGCGAGGCAAGGGAACCGCCCGUCGUCGUCCACCGUCUUCCAUGUGCCGUCCUUGCUCCCUGACGACCCAAUCUCGUCCUCCUCAGAGGAAAAGCGGUCCUCCCAUGCUCGACGCUCCCGGAGGAACCCCGGGGCGAUCCCGUCCAUGCCGUAGAUCGUCCUCUUAAUCUCGGACUCGGGGUCGGUGGGGGUGCGCAUCAUACAGGCGAGCGCCACGACUCCGUCCGCUCGCCCCGACUCUGCCCGGAUCGCGGCAGGCGCCCCCGGGAGGAGCCACGCUGGGGUGGGAGGCCCGUACACCGGCAAGUUUCCCUCUUGAUCGCCGGGCUCUUGCGACGCCAGUGGUGCCGGUUCGGCCAAACCUUGAGGCGGGGGCUCGAGUGGCUCGUCCUCUUGGCCCCCCAGCUGCUGCCGCUGUUGCUGCCCCAGCUGCUGCUGCUGCUCCUCCUGCUGAUGCUGCAGCUGCUCCUCCGGCUGGGGUUGCUGCUGCUGCUGCUCCAGUGACGGCUGCGUUGCCUCGCGCUCCCGCUCCUCCUCCUCCUCCAUCUUCCUUUGCGCCUCGAGAGCUCGAAGGCCUGCAGGCCAGGGAGUCCGUCCCGCGACGUUGGGGGUCGACGCUUCUUCCUCCAUAGGGCGAGCGCCCCCAGACGUUUUGUUGCCAUCAGACGUAUCGCUGAUGGUGAUGGGUUCCCCCUCGACCCCCAAUCGAGGGGGCUCGGGGGCUCCCUCUGACGCUCGCGUCUGGGGGGCCGCAUCAGGAGUCGGCGGCGACGGAGUAGGCGCGGGACGAGAUGAAGCCCUCUCGACGCCGGCUGGAGGUUGGGGGCUGGAUGAGCCUACGAAACAAAGGGUAAGGGUCAGACGUUAUGAUAACCAACAUAAGAACAUCGCGACGCCCGGGAAUUAACUACGAACCUGGUUCCUUGGAGGCGGCACCCGUUCUGAGCCUCUUGGCCAUAGACGGUUGGGCCUGCUCAAGGGUCCGCUUCAGCCUGAGAAAAGGUCGGCAUAAGAGGAAAGGUGGAAGAAUGGGAAGACAAAAACCGCAACAUCAAAAAGGCUUACCCCACGGGGAGAACGGCUCGCCUUCCGCCACCCCGACCAGCGGGCCUGGAGCCACCCCGCGUCGGGGCUCCAGGCCCCUCGAGGGCACGAACUGGCUUAGGUACGUCGGUCCCCGCCUGGCGGACGCCGGGACCCGCGCUCCUACGGCUGGCGUCUCCUUUCUCAGAGGCCGCGGCGCGACCACGAGUUAGCGGCCCCGACGCCUGGGACCCAGCCGGGCCGCUCUCCCUGGGCACCGGGGGAGGGAGCGGUGCGUCUUGGCCCGCCUUGGGCGCGGGAGGGGUGUCGGCCCGGGGACGACGAGAUCCGCUCGGACCCUCCUCUGGCGCCUCCGUCCGGGGGGCGUCGACGUCACCUCGAGGCGGGCCCUCGAGGAUCCGAUCGAGGCGCGACGCCAUCCCCUCGGAGUCGUCGCUGCCCUCGUCGUCAUCGUCAUCAUCGUUGGGGGAUUCUUCCUCAGGCUCCCCCCUCUGCCUGGAUUUGGCUCGACGCGCCUCUAAUGCUUGGCGGUCGAGGUUCUUUUUCUUCUCCCCCUUCUUUGCAGAGUCCUUGGCAGACUUCAGCUUUUCGGCGGAUUGGCGCCGUUUCUCGCGAUCGACCUCGUCCUCCUUUACCGGAGGCCUCGAGGACCGGACAUCAAUCCGACCCUGCCAAAACUACAGUAGACUUAGAAAAAAGAGAGGGGAGAAAGGAAACCCAGAAUCGGGGAUGCGCGCAAGAAGAAAGCGUACCAGAUCGAUCGAGCCUGCGUCAGGUCUCAUGGGGAAGCCGUUGACAUGCUCCGGCUGAAAAUCACCGGCAAUGGCGGCCCUGACUCGGGCCGCGACUUCGUCGUCCGCCGGAGCCUCGUUGGACAUCCGACACGCCUCGAGGUCCCGAGAUGAGACGCCAGGGCCUAUCUCGUCCAUCCUCAACGGUCGUGACAUCAGAGGGAGAACCCUCCGGUGAUGGACGGCCGAGAGGACAAGGGUGGCGGUCAAACCUUCCUGGCGAAGCUUCUUCAGGGCGUCAAGGAGGGGGUCGAGCCGAGACUGAUGAGCUUGGACGACGCCGUACGUCCAGUCCGCUAGACGCUCCAAGAUCAAACGGCCCGAGUAGGAAGGCAGGAGGUUGUCGUCGUUCCGCAGGUAGAACCACUGGGAGUCCCAGCCGGCGUGGUUGGUCGAUAACCCUAUCGGGAUGUACUCCCGCGGCCGGUACGUCUUCCCCGUCUUCUGCACCAGAUUGAGGCAACCCGCCCGCACGGGUUUCCUUACACCCGUAGUUCCGGUGGGGGCGUGAAACAGCUCGCCCCUGUAGAGGUGGAGCCACAGCUCCCAGUGCGGCAUCAUCCCCAGGAAGCCCUCACACACGGCGGCGAAGACCGCCGCUACGGUGAUGGCGUUCGGAGAGAAGUGCUGGAGCUCCACCCCAUAAUGGAAGCAGAGGGCCCGCAUGAAGCGGCUUGGGGGCGCGCCCAGACCGUGGCGGUGGAACUUGGCGAACGACACCACAUAGCCCUCGGGCGGCUGAGGCCCCCUGUGACUCGCCGGCGGCGCGAUCCACUCUGGCGACGACAGCGAGGUGCGGCGGCGCAGCAGUCCCUCCUUCUCAAGCUCUAACAGCCGGCGCUCCGUCAUCGACGAUGGGCGCCAGUCGUCGGCGGCGACGAGUCUUACAGGCAUCUCAGCUGAAGGGACGGUGGUUUCACUACAGCUCGAGGGGGCGUGUGCACGUGAGACGGCGAGAAAGCAAAGGCAGCAAAGGAAUAAGAGCGAGAAGGCGGAAGGGAGAGGAACGGCGGCGACGCCACGACGUACUUAUAGGCAGCAGUCCGCCAAUGGACAGAUCCAAGAAAUAAGGUAACUCCCCCAUAAAUGCGCCGUCUGACAGUCCUUUCUCUCCUCACAGGCCGGACGCUCCGAACUCCCCGCCGGUACAGUGUUGCGAUGUCACUUACCUCAAAAGGUGCGCCCAAUGGGCAGAAAGACGAACCGGCACGACAGCUUCCUUACUUCGUAAGCCAAGGUAUGCGCCCACGAUAGUCUCGAGAGGUCGAGGGCUGGCCCGUCGAAAGGGUUCGACAGCCGAUCUCGAGCACCAAGAGUCAGGGACCCCCAGCGAGUGGUCGAAAAUCGAGGCCCGCCUCGAAGUCUCGCUGGCGAUGUCCAAGGUAGGGUUGAGACAGUCGAGAGGAAUCCCCCGAAGGGAGGCACCGAGCCGCUGGACUCUAUCGAACGAGACCGGUAUCCUCGACCACGUCGACCCUGCAUUAUGAGGACGCCUCCGGGCUACAGCUGACCCCCUCGAAAGGGGCACAGGUUCUCACUUGGACUACCCGCUAGGAACUCAAACUGGGGUGGAAGACGCUCGCUCUAUCGAGAGUACGUCGAAACCUCCAAGCAAGGCAAAGCCGAACAGAACCUUCCACCACGGGUGUUGACAGCGUUUCUGCAAGAUUUGGUGAAAUAAGCCCCGCUAAAGGAACAAAACUACAAUAAAAAAAAACAUCGGUGAAAUAUGUAAGUUGAACACUUAUAGGUUUGAGCGGCGGUGGGUCGCGGUAAACCUCCUUCUCGUCCGACCAGUCCGCACCUGUGCUCCCGACUCCCCAGCGCGAGGCGCAGGUGGAUCGACGGCCACACGGUCGACAGUGGUCGUCCCUCCGUCCGGACGGCUAGGAGGCCUCCGGACCAACGACGGAAUGGCCUCCUCCUCCUCCUCGUCGGUCAUCCGAGCGAACCGACGCCGCUUCGGCGCUCGGCUGCUCUCCGCCGGCAGUGUCGGCAUCAGCGACGGAUCCACAGGCAUUGGCCUUUUCCCCGACACCCUUUCCUCGGUGGUUGGGAUGGGGCGGGCUUGUUCCUCCUAACUGCUGGUGUAAUGAGCACACCGAGCAGCGUCCUCCUCUAGCGGGUCUUCUCCCGCAGGAUUCUCCAUCCCCGGUGCCAGUGAUACAUACACUGUGCACCGGUCGACAUCGUCGAUCUGCAAAAAGCAACAAAGAUGAGCCAACCACAUACGAUAUACGAAUACUAAAACAAAAUAAUCUGCAACAUACCUUUGGUGUUGGUCGGCCUAACUUGAAGGCUUGCACCCGAUCACUGCCACGGAUGAAGCCUCCGUCCGCGAAGUUCAACAGCUCGUUCAACAGCCGUUGUACCUCCGCCUUCUCCAAGAUCUCCGGUCGCAUCCUGGUCGGGUCCACGCUUCCGGCAUACUCGUACGCCGAGUGCACCCUCUUCUGGCAGGGCAUCACCCGAUGACAAAUAAAGUUGCCGACCAUGCCAAGCCCAUCCAGGCGCGACCAGUCGAUCAGCUUCGUCAGAUCCGCCACUUGACCGUCGAACUCCGGGCGAUCGGUCCAGCUCACCCUCUUCUCGGGAAUGUACCCCACGUCGCAGAACGUGGAGCUGCCCGGUUCCUCCCUGACGUAGAACCACUUCCUAUACCAUUCGGUCAAGGAAGUGUUCCAUGGACAGUGCAGGUAGUGAUUCUUCAUUCCAUCACGAAGGUUGAGGUAUACUCCACCUGCGACCUUGGAGCCUCCAACUGCUCCCUUCUUCCUCAAGCAGAAAAGGUAACGAAAAAGAUCGAAGUGCGGCUCUAUGCCAACAUAGGCCUCGCACAGAUGAAUAAACGUGGAGAUAAGGAGAAUUGAGUUCGGGUGCAGAUUGCAAAUCCCGAUCUCAUAAUACAAAAGAAGACCUUGGAGAAAAGGAUGAACCGGAACCCCAAAUCCCCUCUUAACGAAAUCUUCGAACACGACGAUCUCACCGGCACGAGGGUCGGGGAAGCUUUCUCCUUCUGGCGCUCUCCAGCCGCCAAGCUCCGAGCUGUGCAGGAGUCCCAUGUCGACGAGGUCACCGAGGGAUUUGGUGGUGCUGCGGGACUUCUUCCACUCCUUGGCCAUCAUUUCGGCCCUCUUCUUGGAGUCGCUCUUCGCCAUUGGAGGUGAGAAGUGGAUUUGGGUUACGAAGAUGCAGGUGAUCGAAAGAGGCGAGAAUGGAAGGCUUGAGGGCAAUGGCAGGGUAAGGAGUACAGGCGGAACUGUCAGGCUCUUAUAACCCGCAACUCCACCUCUCCCAUUUCCUGUAUUCUCGGGAAGUGGGCGGGCCAUGCGGCGGAUGCGGCGUUUCGGUUUACAAUGAUUAUAGACAAUUAAUGCCGCGGAGUUUUCGUACCAAUUGAUGGUUUCCUUUUUCUCAAACCACGCAAAGGGCGGCUGCGCAGUUGCCAGGCGCAACUUUUCAUGCGUCCAUCUGACAACCCAUCAGGAGGUCUCGUCAUGUCAACUUUAACUGAAAAGAUCGUUUCAAUAAAAAGAAGACAAAUAUGCCAGAGAGUCAACAAUCCGAGGACUGCACCGACCACCGAGCAAUUGAUGCUCGGGGACUGGUCGCCCAGUCCAUCAGCUCGGAACUUCAAAGACUGCACCGACCACCGAGCACUCGACGCUCGGGGACUGGUCACCCAGUCUAUUAGCUCGGAACUUCAAGGACUGCACCGACCACCAAGCACUUGACGCUCGGGGACUGGUCGCCCAGUCUAUCAGCUCGGAACUUCAAAGACUGCAUCGACCACCGAGCACUCGAUGCUCGGGGACUGGUCGUACAGUAUAGCAACGCAGAAUUCUAAGGAGCGCACUUGGUGCUUGGGGACUGGUCGUCAUACUAUUAUACACCCGGGGACUGGUCGAUUAGUCUAUUCAAUUGCAGACGGACUGGUAAAUUCAAUUUUUUAGACCUUGCUACAAGGCUCAUACUUCGCCUUCCAGCAAGCUCGGGGACUACAUCGAUACGAUGCAUCUGGCGAUGCAUCUCAGUUACAGAAUUUCUUUUAGCACUUUUAUUUUGACCCUGGCACCACGUGCCUAUGUCACCUACUACCAGGCUCAGGGACUAAGUGGGCACACUUCACCUUGCGGUGAAUAUGCUUGCUUUUUUGAUGUUUAUACCUUUCAGAAAAGUAAAGUGGGCACACUUCACCAGGAAAGAAAUCUUUUUUAAUUUAGAGCACCAUGCAUUCUUCGAACAACUCGCUUCUUCGAUGUCAAUGUUGAUCAACUGUCUUUUGAGUUGGUCAAAGAACCGUUGCAACUGUUUGGGCGACUUUCCUGCUUAUUGAAGACGUCAAGCCUCACUGAUCGAAGAAGCUCAAGACGGCGUGUUACAUCACAAUACAUGGUGCUCGAGGACUAGCUGUGGGGGGAUAGACCCCUAUACCCUUACGGCUAGACAUGGGCCAGGAGGCUUGGCCCAUUACGAGACGAGUUCAAGGCUUGAUCCGACAGCCUGGAGUUUCGCGCAAGGAAGCAAGAUGUGGAGAUCAAGCAGGAUUCUAGUCGGUUAGAAUAGGAAUUGAUAUCGAACUAUCUAUGACAAUUGUAACCGACUAGGAUUAGUUUCCAGAUCUAUAACCCUGCCCUUCAGACUAUAUAAGGAGAGGCAAGGGACCCCCCUAGGACAUACGAUUCUCUCAACACAAAUCAAUACAACCAGACACAGGACGUAGGUAUUACGCCAACUCGGCGGCCGAACCUGGAUAAAAAGCUUGUCCGUGUCUUGCGUCCCCAUUGAGUUCGUAGUUUGCGCACCAUCUACCGAUAAACUACUACCGUGGGUAUACCCCAAGGUAGACUGCCGACCAGCUUUCGUCGACAGGCUGUAUUUCCAACAGACCUCGAAUAUGGGUCACCUCGACUUAAAACCUACAACGAAUAGACAAACAAGGAAACUCGGGAGAAUGCGAUCGACCAGCUCGAGGAAGCUCAAGACAUGGCCCUCCUCAACUCAGUAAGAUACCAGCAGAAGCUUCGACGCUACCACGACAAACACAUGCGCAAAAGAGACCUGAACGUGGGCGACCUCAUCCUACAUCGACGGCAAAGCAAUCAACGACGCCACAAGCUGACUCCACCCUGGGAAGGCCCGUACAUGGUGGCCGAGGUCUUGAAGCCAGGAACGUACAAGCUCACGGACAAAAAGGGUGUGGUCUUCAACAACGCAUGGAACAUCGAACAGCUACAUUGCUUCUACCCCUAGAGCUUUGAGGCUUUACAUUCUCAUGCGCAUCUUGUACCAUCGAAGCCCUAUGAAUGAUUAUGUGAAUAAAUGAAAGUACUUUUUUAAGUAAUGCAUGUUAUUACCAGUUAAAUCUCAUCGCUAGGAGGAAGUCUCGACUAUGACCCAUCAUAGUUGAAACUCCCUCAGGGGCUAGCAGCGGGACCCCCCCCCACAAGCUCCUAAAUCGAACGAUUUUUCAAAAAGCUCAACAUUAUCUCUUCCCUUUCAAGCCCUAAGGAAACCUCGCACGAUCGAGUAGUAAAGAUGCCUCGAGCCCCUUAAGGGCCGAGGGACGUCGAGCCUGAGAAUCCCUACGCCUCCGGGCUAUGGUAACUCUACUCACUCCCUCACCCUUGAGGCAAUCUAGGUCGUCAUAACAAAAGAUCGAUCCAGGAACACAAACUUAGGAAACAAAGGAAAUUCGAGCAUAAAAGCAACAAGAAUAUAUAGAAACCACGAAUUCCAAGGCCACUAAGGCCACAAUGUUUAACACUAAGUAUAUUACAAUGGGUCUAAGUACCUAGAUUAGGCUCACAGGCCUUUAGUCUUCACUUCUGCCUUCCCCACCGUCUUCCGUGCCCGCGCCUGUUGACGGUGGAUAUACCAUAGAAAUCCACAUACAAAACACCGUCAACAUGCCUCGGUUGCAAGGGGAAAUGACAUGACAUGAACAUAUUUUAUCCAUAACUAGUUCCACUUGUACUCUUAGCUUGUUUAUGCAGGAACAACAAAUUCAAGACAUUAUUUGACAAAGCCAACAUCAGAAUCAUCAAGAGGAGAUCGAGGGGACAACAGGUGACACCCUGGGCCCACAGGGAGGGGGUCGCCCGACCCCUCUUUGGUGGGACCCAGGUGUGCCACCUACUCCACCGACAUAAGGGACCAUUGUGGACACUGCUGGUGGGCCCAGGUGGUCAGGAGUGGGGUCGCCCGACCCCACAUGUAAGGCGGUUUCAGGGUCGGUGGCCUCCCACCGACCUUCCCCACAUGUCUCACGUGUUGGUUUGCCCCUGCCGUUGAUCAAAUGGCGGUUGUGAAGUCGGUUUGAUCCAAGGGUGGAGAGGCAUGAUCACACGGAUCGAUGACGUGGCGGUGGAGUAGCCCCUACUCCACCUCUCCCUAUAAAUAGAGGCUGAUUUCACCCUUCCAAGGCAUGAUGAAUUCAAGGUUCAAGUGAUCCAAGCUAGAUACAAGUGAGUAGUAGUAGUGGUAGUCUAGUGUGGGAGUUAGAGUUGAGUCGAGCGAAGCUCGGGGUCUCCGGAGUCGUCUUCUGGAGAGUCUGGUAUAGCUCUUGUAUCUUUUCUCCUGUAAGACUUGUUUUCUUAAUAUAUUCUCUUUCUACUUUUCUAAGUAUUACUUUGUGCAAUAUUAUUCUUGCAAUAGUAUUGUAGUGUUCUAUCUUGUCCUUUAGUAGUUACAUAUUAGAUUGUGAUCCUGUAACAAGCUCGUGGCUGUUUCCCAUCGCCUUUAGCAAGGUGCUAUAGUUGUUUGAUCGCAGCUACAGUAGUGAGAGUUAGCGUAAGCGCGGUGCUUAGGCUAGGUCUUGCCUUUGGGUGUCGCUGGCUCGGACGGAAAGUAGGGGCGCACUCCCUAGUAGGUGACAGAUCGUGGGCGGCAUUAGGUUCUCCUCACGUACGAGCUAGUUCUUAAAAGAUAAGGCGUCCAUAAGCCCAAUAGUCGCUUUCGGUAAGGGGUUAGGUGAAAAACCUUUUAAGCGUCUUACCAGCUCGGCUAUCCCUGGCAGCCAUUAGUAAGGUAUCAAUCUAGUGUGUCUCUGCUAUUUGAUUAAGAUUAGUUCACGAGAGUAGAAUUAGAUAUCCUAGGAACCUGUACUCACUCGUUGUCCUCCCACCUAGCUACUCUACUCUAGUUAUCUUGUAGUUAUCCUUUUUGAUUAUCUCUGGAUCAUCAUCAUCCCUUCCUUCACCUUUCGUUACCACCACUCUGCACUAGUUGUAACUAAGUUGAGAUAGGAUCUCUUUUCUUACAAGCAUUUCUAGCUAUUGCUUUCCCUUGGGAAAAUAUAAAUUACGAUACCUUGGAAUACUCCCGGGUGAAGUGCUACAGCGGUACCUUCUGUGCGCUUGCGGAAUUAUCCAAUAGUUAAUAGAGUUACCACACCAGGCACUUCUGGCGCCAUCACCGAUAUCCGGUGGUUGCGUUAAGAAGUGCCAACAAGCAUUUCUGGCGCCGUUGCCGGGGAAAGCAUAGCCUAGAAAUCUUAGUAAGAACGAAUCCGAAAAAAAAAUAUAUCAUCAACUUAGUAUCAAUUAGUUGUAGGGGGGGUUUACCCCUUGCCUUUGUUUCUCUAUAUUGUGAAGCAGGGCAUUGUAUGAGUGAGUUCCAAUUCAAGGCCACAUUAGAAAAUCCUGAGACAUCCCGACAGAGUCCUAGACACCGUCUAGUAACUUAUCGGAGAUCCAGCUCAUACUUGAAUUCACUCAAGGAAGGAGGCUUAGCACCGACACUCUACCAGUCAAUGGCUUCCUCAUCAAUCUCCGACUUCUCAUCUCCAUCAGUUGCCCAUGUUACCAUUGGACCGAGGGUGGAGGUCGAAGAUGUCGACUUUGAGAUUAAGCCAUCACUUAUCACUAUGGUGCAAGCAAGUACAUUUAGUGGGAAGCCACAUGAAGAUGCAAAUGCACAUCUCCAACACUUUUUGGAAGUGUGUAGCACUAUUGCCAUCAGAGGGGUAACGGCCGACGCCAUCCGCCUUCGCCUAUUCCCAUUCUCAUUGUUUGGGAAGGCAAAGCAAUGGUUUUUCGCUCAACCCGAUGAUGUCAACACCUGGAGAAGAUGUGCCAAUGCAUUUCUCAAGAAAUUCUUCCCAAUGGGCAAGACAUCUGCUCUGAGGGCAAAGAUUUCAAGCUUCCAACAGAAGGCAGACGAGACUAUUCCCGAAGCAUGGGAACGUCUCCAGGAGUACAUUCAAGAGUGUCCACAUCAUGGAAUUAAAGAGUGGCUCCUGAUUCAAGGUUUCUACCAUGGGCUGACUCCAGUAGCUCGUAGCCACCUUGAUGCCGCCGCAAGAGGAGCGUUUACCUCCCUCAAUGUCACUCAAGCUAAAACUCUCAUUGAGAACAUAGUGACAAAUCAAACAUGGAGAGAAGAACGCCCUCAACUCAAGAAGAGAAGCACGAAAACCAUUGAAGAGGUAAAUGAAAUAUCUCACAAGAUGGAGUUCUUGUUGAAGAAGUUGGAUGAACGAGCCAAGGUAAAGAAAGAUCGAGAGGCCAUCCAACAAUAUGCCACUGCACGUGCGAACCAACGGAGCAGGGUGCAAAAUGCAAGCCAUGAAGCUGUGCAAUCCUUCAACAAUGGACGACCAACUUCGCGCUUCCAGGGCCAAGGUAACUCUAGUAACUCUAACUGGCUUUCACUUAAAGAACUUGUCAUUAAUCAAGCUAAAAUCAAUGAAAGCAUGAACAAAAGAUUGUUAGCUAGUGACAAGACUCUUGAAUCAUUAACUGCUAAAAUGGAUUCCCUUGUUUCUUCUGUUAAGGACCAAUUAAACUUUAAUAAAAUUUUAGAGUCUCAAAUAGCACAAAUUGCUGCUACUGUUCCUUCUUCUGUAAAUUCUUGCAAUAUCUUUAAUGUGACCACGAGAGGGGGUAAGACCACUCGUGAUCCACCAUAUCCUGACAUGACAAAAAAGACUGCAAGAAAAGAUAAGGAAGUUGAGGAAGACAAGGAAGAAGCACCAUCUAAGCAGGAAAACACCAAGUUCUAUGGAAAGACAGCUCCGCACGAGUUCUACGACACCAACAUUCUGCUGCCAUUUCCAAGAACAAGGAAGCCAACCACCGAUGAACAAUUCGGGAAGUUUGUUGAGGUAAUUCGGCAAUUAUAUGUCAAUAUUCCACUACUUGAUGCAAUGCAGGUUCCAACCUAUGCCAAGUAUUUGAGAGACAUCCUCAACAACAAACGCCCGCUGCCUACAACUGAGGUGAUUAAGCUAACAGAAGAAUGCAGCGCGGCGAUACUAAACCAACUACCAGAAAAGAAGAAGGACCCUGGAUGUCCUACCAUCGACUGCUCCAUUGGGACACAUCACUUCGAGCAUGCACUGUGCGACUUGGGAGCAAGUGUCAGUGUCAUGCCAAAGGUAAUAUUUGAUAAACUAACCCAUGCUGUUUUGUCCCCUACAUCAAUACAUUUGCAGUUAGCGGAUCAGUCAAUUCGCCAUCCUGCGGGGGUAGCUGAGAAUAUCCCCGUAAAGAUACGCGAGUUCCUGGUCCCUGUGGAUUUCGUGGUACUCGACAUGGAGGUGGAUGAAAAGACUCCACUUAUCCUGGGAAGACCAUUUCUCAGCACUGCUAAUGCACAUAUUGACGUUGGAGCCGGAGAAAUUCAAUUUACAAUCAAUGGGGCCCAGGAGAAGUUCAACUUCAAACCAAAGGUAGUGCAAUGCUCACUAAUCUUGGCAGUGGAUGUGGCAACCGUCACAUUCAUAACUAGGCCAAAGAAAAAGACCAAUCCAACGCCAAGAGCAAAGAGCAAGAAAAUAUGGAAGAAGAAGGUAAUACAACCGAUGACACCUCCGAAGAAAAUUUCUGUAUCAACUCAAGGAGGAGGUCCUGUUCUAAGGACCUGAGGUAACAGCUCUUCCAUCAAGGUAAGCCCACUGACCUUUAACUUUAAGUUACUUAUUAAACUUCCUUCAUCUUUUCCAACCCUUCUAUCAACUUGAGUUAAGACAAGUAAAGUAAAAAUAAAAACUCACUGAGCAAGGUGGACACCAGGUGGGGCCCAAAGGGGGGUCGCCCGACCCCACUUUGGUGGCCCCCACCUAUCAUCUCGUGUCCUUUGCCACUUCCUGUCAUGACAUGCUAUGCUCCAUUCAAGAAAACACCAAAACAUUACCAUGUCAACUCAUGUAAUCCCACUUGAUCAACGAAUUGAACCGUGCAUGAGAAUUCUCUAACUCUUUCAUCUAUUUUUCUUGCAUGUGCUUGUUCUGUUACUAGUGUAGUGUGUCCAGCAUUACUCAAGAGUGAGAGGAGGGGUCGGCCGACCCCAUGGUUGGCCCCACUUCCUCCCCUCCUCUGGUGUAUGGCAGCACAAGUAAUGUAGGGAGAGUGAGUAUAGAAAUAAAGACUCAUAAACAUCAACACUCACCCUAGGAGCUAGAGUUUCUAGUUCUCAUCCCCUGCUUCCACUAAAACGUAAGUGAAAUUAGGAGACACUGCUAACUUAACAAAAACCAUCUUCUUCUUUCUAAAGUCACUUAAGCAACCUCUAGACAAAUCACUCUUGCUAAGUAUGGGAAAGAUACUUGCUUAAAGCCUUAAGUAAAUCAACAUUUUGAGAAGCUCAUCCCGUGAAGCAUCUCAUGAGCAAACAUCCACCCAUCUAGUCUUGUCUUGUUCCCUCCUUUCUCUUUCACCACAUUCCAAGAAGAGAUUCUUUGAGAAAACAUCCAAAAGAAAGGAGAGAGUGAGUGGAGAUGGGGAACCAGCCAUGGCACACAUUCAUCAUCAAUCUGGUGAACAGCUAGCGCAAAGAGGAGGUGGUGAUGGGGUCGCCUGACCCCCUCCCUGCAGCAUUUCUUAUUUCUUUCUUUCCCAUCCAUCUUUCCUUGACACAAGGUGUUGGCCAUUUGUGGUUUCGUGGAAAAAGAGGGGUCGGCCGACCCUGACAAAGUGCCCUCUGCACUUGUCCUCUCUUCAAUCCACUCACUCAUUCACUCACAACCACUUUCCUCUACUAGCAACUCAAGAAAAUCAUCAACACUCUUCCUUUCACUUUCCCUAUUGCUCAAGUGUUCACCCGUCGAGAAAUCAAGAGAGGUAAUCAGCCGGUAAGAAGAGUUAAAAUCUAAACUAACCUCUCUGGUGGAAGUGGUGUUCGUUAUUUUCUUGAUCUAGCAUGAAGAAUCCACUCAAGAACAUAGGGAAGAAAGUGCGUGGAGCGUUUAGCAGAAGCUCAUCAAGGCGCUCCCAUGGCACCAUGAGUUCGGUAGAAGAGUACUCCUCUCAUCAGGGACUUCCCUCUGAGACUCAUGAGGAGCAAGAGCAUGAGGCCAUGCCACAGCAAACACCACCUAAUGAAGAAGCAGCACCUCUACGGAUGCAAGAUAUAGAGACCGGACUUUUGCUCACCGUAGAAGAAAUGGAGAAGCUUAACCAUCUACGCCACCGUGAAUUCAAGCAUACCAAUGUAAUUGACCCUAAAUUCCUCAAAGACACAGGUAUGUAUGAGGAAUUCUUUGAUGUCUUUGCUGCAAUAGGAUGGGGUGAAUUUUGGGACUUUUCGGAACACCUAGGUAGCAAGAUUCUCACUCUAGAAUUUUUGAGCACCGUAAGGGUAACCGAAACAACCAUUUACUUUCGCCUAAGAAACCAAGAUUAUGAUUUCACAUGGGACCAUCUAGCUGCAUGUUUAGGCUUUUAUGAAUUUUAAAACCAACGUAGAAGUUGCCACAAGGGGUUUUAAUAGACAAGAAUUUUGGCAUGAAAUAACUGGGGAGAAUCUAAUUGGAAAUACUUACCCACGUACUAGCCAUAUCUGCCAUCCCACACUACGGUUCAUGCACAAAUGGAUAGGCAUCACUCUAUUCCCUAGAGAUGACAUUCGGAUUGUGCGGGAAAUUGAUAAUAGAAUUCUAUAUGCCAUGGUGAAUAGAAUUCGUAUUGCACCGGUAAAAGCCAUGGUACAUCAUUGGAUCACUAUAGCACGGAAGAAUGACCCAAUUGAGUUCACCUCUAUAAUUACAAAAUUGUAUGAUUACAUUUUGAUCCUUGAUGACACCAUCCAGUACAUACCCACUCCUAGAACUGUGUUAGGAAAAUAUCAUUUCAUUCAAGCAAAAGUAAUUACGCGUGGCCCCAAUGACACAAUUGAAUUUAUAUUGCGUAAAUCAAAUGCAAGACUCAUUUUGCCACAACCAGAGUUAAAAUUAUACGGGGGCCACCCGUUAAUGCCUAAUGUUCCUGGAGUUGGAGGACGUAGAAGUUUUGCAGGGCCAUUCACACGUGGACAGUCACGAGCUGAACAGCAAGAUGAUUCAGAUAAUGAGGGCACUUCCAAUGCCAUGCACACCUCCGGGACGGGGAGGAGACGUAGUGCCCGGUUGUCUCUUUCUUCUUCGCAGGAGAUUGGAAACCGCAGUCACCGUCAUGACAUGGAGCUACUCAGAUCAGGUAUGGCUACAUUGCGUACUAACCAUGAAGCCAUUCACACUGCCACUGUGGAAACCCAACAACAAAUCCAAAAUUUUGAGGAGAGCAGCAAUAGAAACUGGUGCCAAGCCUACACAUCAUAUCACCUGCCCGUACCACCAUACAUUCCUCAACCACCACAUGCAUAUCCACCUCCUCCUGCACAAUAUCCUCCACAGCAAUAUCCUCCACCAUAUCCACCAUAUCCAUCGUAUCCACCCCAGUGAGGAAGGACAAGCUUGGGGGAGAUCCUCUCCCCCACCAAGGUAAGUAUUCUAUCCUAUUUAUUUCCAUGCAUUUUAUCAUUCCUGCUCUAAAAAAAAAAUUAAAAAAAAUUAGCAUUUCCCUUUAGCAUAUAUGCUUCAUGUAUGUCUAUAUCCCUCAUGGAAAUGAUGACUAGUUGCUUGUUAAUGUUUCUCUAGUACCUAGUAUACAACUUAGUAUUUCUCCAAGUAUGGAUCACUUAGCUCACUUAAACUGCCAUGAACCUGAAAACUUUGUGGGUUGCAAGUGCUAGAACUAAGUCUAAGUUGUUGUGGGACAUGAGAUAGUGAGACAAGAGCUGCUAUAAUAUUAUUCUAAGCAUGCAUGAUUAUCAGAGAUUUAUUCUUAAAAUGAUCAAAACCUUAAUUGUUCCUCAAGGGUGAUGAAUUCCUACCACAGCUAUAUCUACUUUACAUGAUUGCAACCUUUCCACAUAAGCUAUUUGCUUUGUGUUGAGUGUCGUCAAGUCUUGUUGACCCCUGUUAAGAGACUUUUCAUGCUCCUAAGAUCAAGAUCACGUACACACCACAUAUAUAUAUGCUGCUUCUACACUGGAAGUACGCAACCACAUGUAUUUCGCAUCCACUAAAUAGGUUGCUCCAUACUCUAAAUGUUAGGAUAUCUCUCUCUAAGCAUUAUUUGGUAAAUGAGACAUCAAAAGCCUAGGCAAAAUGAAAUAAAAAGAUGGACAUGUGCAAGUCCACAAAAAAAAAUUGAGCACAUAAAGCUCGAAGAAAAAGAAAAUGCUAGCCAUGUCACAAUAUAUAAGUAGAGAGAGUGUAGCAAAUAAAGGAGCAACCUAGUCCACCAUAUAUCACACUUGCACAUCUUGAUCUGGGAGUAUGACACUUCUCUUCAGGGAUCCGAGCUUUGACUUCGCAACACAUGCAAAGUAAGUAUGCUAUCUCCUUUCAUCCCUACCUUAAGCUCCACAUAAGCCUUUUAGAAAUAGGAUGAAAUAGAGAAGGCAACUCUAUCAUAUGCCUUGGUGAGGAAUUAUACAUCAUUUGAGUGACAUGAGAGAACCAUAUGAGGAACAUUUAAGUUUUCUUUUGAAAAUAUCACAAAACCUCUGAUAUGAAACUUGCUAAGAAUGAGAAAGUUAGUGCUCAAGUCAAACUGUUCUGUCUUUCAACCACCUAAGAAAAAGGAAAAGCCAUAAGCCCCAUAAGGGACUAAGGUAAUAUGGGUAAGUUUACAUAGCUAAAUUUUUCAUGCAAAGAGAAGAACUUUGUUGUACACAUGGUACUCUUGAAAUGUGAACAUAGUAACAAUACCUGAUCCACCAAGGCUAAGUUUGAUUGUUUGCUCGGGACGAGCAAAGGUUAAGCUUGAGGGAUCUUGUUGACGGUGGAUAUACCAUAGAAAUCCACAUACAAAACACCGUCAACAUGCCUCGGUUGCAAGGGGAAAUGACAUGACAUGAACAUAUUUUAUCCAUAACUAGUUCCACUUGUACUCUUAGCUUGUUUAUGCAGGAACAACAAAUUCAAGACAUUAUUUGACAAAGCCAACAUCAGAAUCAUCAAGAGGAGAUCGAGGGGACAACAGGUGACACCCUGGGCCCACAGGGAGGGGGUCGCCCGACCCCUCUUUGGUGGGACCCAGGUGUGCCACCUACUCCACCGACAUAAGGGACCAUUGUGGACACUGCUGGUGGGCCCAGGUGGUCAGGAGUGGGGUCGCCCGACCCCACAUGUAAGGCGGUUUCAGGGUCGGUGGCCUCCCACCGACCUUCCCCACAUGUCUCACGUGUUGGUUUGCCCCUGCCGUUGAUCAAAUGGCGGUUGUGAAGUCGGUUUGAUCCAAGGGUGGAGAGGCAUGAUCACACGGAUCGAUGACGUGGCGGUGGAGUAGCCCCUACUCCACCUCUCCCUAUAAAUAGAGGCUGAUUUCACCCUUCCAAGGCAGGAUGAAUUCAAGGUUCAAGUGAUCCAAGCUAGAUACAAGUGAGUAGUAGUAGUAGUAGUCUAGUGUGGGAGUUAGAGUUGAGUCGAGCGAAGCUCGGGGUCUCCGGAGUCGUCUUCUGGAGAGUCUGGUAUAGCUCUUGUAUCUUUUCUCCUGUAAGACUUGUUUUCUUAAUAUAUUCUCUUUCUACUUUUCUAAGUAUUACUUUGUGCAAUAUUAUUCUUGCAAUAGUAUUGUAGUGUUCUAUCUUGUCCUUUAGUAGUUACAUAUUAGAUUGUGAUCCUGUAACAAGCUCGUGGCUGUUUCCCAUCGCCUUUAGCAAGGUGCUAUAGUUGUUUGAUCGCAGCUAGAGUAGUGAGAGUUAGCGUAAGUGCGGUGCUUAGGCUAGGUCUUGCCUUUGGGUGUCGCUGGCUCGGACGGAAAGUAGGGGCGCACUCCCUAGUAGGUGACAGAUCGUGGGCGGCAUUAGGUUCUCCUCACGUACGAGCUAGUUCUUAAAAGAUAAGGCGUCCAUAAGCCCAAUAGUCGCUUUCGGUAAGGGGUUAGGUGAAAAACCUUUUAAGCGUCUUACCAGCUCGGCUAUCCCUGGCAGCCAUUAGUAAGGUAUCAAUCUAGUGUGUCUCUGCUAUUUGAUUAAGAUUAGUUCACGAGAGUAGAAUUAGAUAUCCUAGGAACCUGUACUCACUCGUUGUCCUCCCACCUAGCUACUCUACUCUAGUUAUCUUGUAGUUAUCCUUUUUGAUUAUCUCUGGAUCAUCAUCAUCCCUUCCUUCACCUUUCGUUACCACCUCUCUGCACUAGUUGUAACUAAGUUGAGAUAGGAUCUCUUUUCUUACAAGCAUUUCUAGCUAUUGCUUUCCCUUGGGAAAAUAUAAAUUACGAUACCUUGGAAUACUCCCGGGUGAAGUGCUACAGCGGUACCUUCUGUGCGCUUGCGGAAUUAUCCAAUAGUUAAUAGAGUUACCACACCAGGCACUUCUAGCGCCAUCACCGAUAUCCGGUGGUUGCGUUAAGAAGUGCCAACAGCGCCAGUCUCAGGAGGGAGUACCUCUGGCUCGAAUAGCUUCGCCAGCCUUUCCCCAGGAACCUCUGCAUCAUCGAUCAAGGUGAAAGGAUCAAGAUGCCCAAGAGGGGGGGUGAAUUGGGCUUCUCUAAAAAUUUAAGCAACCUAUAAACUCCAAUUCAACCCCUUGUGCCUAGUGUGACUCGAGAGCUACCGGAUAAAAGUUUUGCAACCUAGUUCCAAUCCUAUUCUAGCAUGACAAUUCUAAGAAUGUAAAAGCACAAAGUAAAUGCUAGAAAGUAAAGGAAUAGUGGAAGAGAAUGCUCGGCGAUGUUUUGCCGAGGUUUCGAAGAGUCGCCACUCUCCACUAGUCCUCGUUGGAGCACCCAUGCAAGGGUCUUGCUCCCCCUUGGUCUGCGCAAGGACCAAGUGCUCUCUACGGGCUGAUUCUUCGACACUCUAUCGCGGUGAAUGUAACACUCCUAGUGCUAGCUUGCAUGUUAACCAUGAGUAUUGCAUCAACAUAAGCAUCAUCAUGAUCACUCAUAAGCAUCAUACCAUGAUCACAUGCCAACAUAUACUAUGUGAUUGGAUUGCUAUAUGACAUGCUAUGGCUGAUUGUAAUGGGUGACCAAUGCAUACAAGUGUACAAUCUUUUCCAAAAUACUUUAAUCAUGUUUAGAAUAACAUUUUGAACAAAGUUUAUGCUGGAGGUUUUGGCCAAAAAUGCCCCUAAGCCAUGGUUAACCUUAAGUUGACCUAAUUGACCCCCUAGACCUAUUUUCAAAGAUGUUUUAUGAAACUUGUGUUAGCGACCUUGCAUGUAAAUGACACCUAAACCAAAGUUGUAGUAAAUUUUAUAAUCUACAAAAGUUAUGUUUAUGACUUUUCAUGAAAAUGCUUGGAACCCAUUCAAAUUUAGCCCACAAGCCAGAAAUCAGUGCUGUUUUCACACUUAGCUGAAUUUGGCUAAGUCUGGGAAUCAGCAGAUUCGACAUAGGGUCAUUGGGAGCCUUGUGGUUUGAAAUCCAGGCCGAGUUAGACUUUGAUCUUGUAAGCAAACCUGUAGAUCUCGUGUAGCUCUAACCCAAGGAACAAAUUUGAGCCAAAACCAUCGAGUGAGACGUGAGUAAAACGUUGGCAAAGAUCGAGCUUCAGUCACUGGCCAUGGCGACUCAAUUGCCCGAUUCAGUUCGGACAGAACUCGCCCGCCGCUGCAUGUCCGGCCACCUGUUGGCCGUACGCCGUCGAUAACCCCUCCUGUCAGCCGCGACAUCGUCCACAAGACACCAUGCACCGAGUGGACGCCUCAGACGCGCCAUUUGCCCCUCCAGAGCGCCACAUUGCGUCCGCCUUCGUCCACGGCGAGCUCCGCCGCGCUUCGGCGAGCUCUCCCGGCCGCUCCACCGUGUCUCUGGCCUAGCCAGUCGACCUAGAGCUCCGCCUAGACGUCCUCUACCUUGACGUCCACUCCUUUCCUUUAGCCGAGCACUGGUGAGGCCGCACUGCCACCCCUGUCGCGAGCUCCACCUCGCCGGAGUUCGCAGAGAUCACCGGCGAUGUGGCCAGACCUCUCUAGUUCACCUCUGGCCGUGGUUCUUCUUCCUAUAGCUUCGCCUUGAGUCGCUCUUGCUCGUCCGCAACCUCUACCGCGUCGCCGUUGCCUAGGUUCGCCGGCGUAACGCUGUGCAGCACCGCCGCUCCGCCAUUUGCGACGGCGAGCACCCUAGGGUCCAGUAGAGCGCGAGUGAAGUAGGUCAACGGAUUCGCCUUGAGGAGAGGAACACGUAGAUGCCCUUGGAUCCAUCGGAGACCUCGCCGUCGUCGAGUUUCGCCGGCGACGAGCUUCUCCCCUGUCUCUGUCUCUCUGUCGCGGGGGUCCCGUGUGUCAGCGGAUCCCACCUGUCAGUCUCUCUCUCACACCUCUGAUUCACUGUUCUACAGAUCCUGUGUUGAUUUUGUAAAAUUCAUAUCUUGAGUUUUACAGAUCCAAAUGAUGUGGUUCCAAUUUUGCUAGGUUCUUAUGGUAAUCUAGUUUCUACUAAAAAUAUGCAACAUGCCAUGUUUUUGAAGAAAUAAAUAGAUAUGAUUUAAUCUUUAUUAAAAAGGAGGUAAUUGUAUCUUGAGAUCUGUGGAUAUGAUGGUCAUGCAAAUCUAGGGUGUUGUUACUCAUGGCAUAAAUAGGCUCUGAUAAAUUUAUCAUGAAUUUUGGGGGUCUGAUUGUGAAGUUAUAAAUAUUUCUUGUUUAAAUAGGAGUUUCUUGUGGUAUUUUUAGUAAAAAGAUUAUAACUCCUUCUUUGGUGAAACUUGCUGGGUGUUAUACUCAUGUAUAAUCAAAGCUAGGAAAAAUCUGAAAUCUGUUGUUUGACACUUUUUCAUAGGGUUUCACAUUUAUGCCUUGCAUGCCCUUGCUAGCUUGUUAUUUUUGUAGCUCACAAUCUACAUGUGCAAGUGCCCUGAAAAUUUUACAGUGACCUCAUGAUUGUGUAGAUAGCUUUCUGUAAUUUUCUUAGGACUUUUAAAGCACUUGUGUUAUAUGCUCAUUAAAUCACCCUAAUAAUUAAAUAAAUAGAAAAUGUGAUAAUAGGAAUGAGUUUAGACCUUGCCAUGAUGUUUUCUGGUGUUUCUUAGACAUUUUCUAUCUACUGGUGCAUUUGGUCUGAACCAAUGUUACAUUCUUAAUAUGUGUAAAAUAUUAUUUUUGCUAAUUGUCUUUCCUAGAGCUUUUCUGUGUAGCUGACAGUAAUUGUUUAGGAACUACUAGAAGAUGAUGUUUUCUGGAAAACUUUCCUAUAACAAACUUGUAGCUAACUUGCUUAUCUACUUCAUGUCCAAAUUUCAUGACAUUUGGUUGAGUAGUUUGAAUGUUAUGAAUGUUGCAAGAAGCUGCUACGAACUGCUUGCUCUCUGGAUUUUCCAGAACAGCCAGCACACUUUGUCUGUUUGAGCAUAUUUUGGUUGGGAAUCUUUCUGGGCUGUCUAAAAGUGAAUUGUAGGCAAUUUGCUAAGCUUUCCAGAAAGUAUCUAUUUGCUUAGUUUGGCCAGCUGAUGCUUAAGUUGUAACAGAAACUUGUGACUAGUUAAUCUGUACAUGACCCCAGUUGUUGUGUAUGGGUAGCUAAGGUUGAUUGCUUGUCUAGUUAGCCUCUCUACCAGAGAAGAAGUAUGCACUUACUUGUUAUUCUGUGAUUCAUCUAAGUUUGUAAGUUUAUGCUCAUGUUUAUACCUUGUUGUAUGUUCCUUGGCUCAGCAUCAUGACAUAUUGCAUCUUAUGUGCAUUCCCUAUGUUUAUCGCCUUGUCAUGCAUACAUAGGUGUACCCAAGGGAGUGACGGUCUUGGAGUACGAGCUGCCGGAGCCAGAAGAACAACAAGGGGAGCCACCUCAAGGAUCUUAGGAGGAGGACCUGCCAGAGUGUCCCGACCACCACCUGUCCACCUACGUUGAAGUCAAGCCCCGGAGCAUUAUAAGCCUCCUACUAUUUUUGUUAUCAUAUCCAGCUAUCAAUUGGUUAUGGUUAUGUAUUGUUGCAUUAAGUGUUAGGCGUUGAUAUGACACCCUUGCUGCAUAAUGACUACCUUGUCCACCUCAUACCUUACCUAAGUAGGUCCAGGAUCGAAAUGAUGCUUAUCCAUGCUUAGCUCGGUAGAAGCCGGGUGAUUUCCUGUCACCUGCGAGAGAUAGGUGGAUGCUGAUCACGGUUGGCUAUAUUUGCUAUCGUGGAAAUAACCAUGUGCUAAUAAUGAACAUGAGACCGGGCGAGAUGACGAUAGUGCAGCAACAAGGCAUGGAGGUGUUGGGUGUGAAUCUAUCCCCGUCUGUGUCGAUUAAGGACCGAUUCGCUGUACGUCCUCGUGUCAUGUUGAACGCAUGCCUAACACUUAGCUGGCCGGAUAAGUCGUUCUGACCGCGAAGCCUACGAGUGCAUCUCCGGCCGGAUAACCUGUUCGGUUUAAGUGCGCACCCCGGUUGGUAGCAAGGAUGUGCGGGGAGUCAACGGCGUAAGACCGAGGUGUCAGGUUAGAGUCCUGACCCCGGCAGAUUGGCGGUCCCUGGGGGUGCGGCGCUGUACGGAACCGAGAAUUGGUCUGGAGUUGUGCUAAAGGUGAUCCGAGCUGCCCUCAUGAAGUAUGCUUGGGUGAGUGCUAGGAAUACCCCUCCAGCUGGAUAGGAAUCGAUUCGAAUCGCCGUCUCUCCCGGAUAGUGAGAACUUGACUCGGGCAGUGGCAACGUAUAACUCACUAAAUAAACUUAAUGGUUAUGAUCAGAAUGUGGAUAGCUAAGUGAUAAUCCGGAUAUGGUUAUUAUUGUGAUGCUUAAAUACUCAAGUGUAUGCUUAGAACAGGUGCUAAUCUAGUGGAUAGUUGUUAUAGUAAUGAACCUGCUGCUGAAAUGUUAUAAAUGGACUACUUACAACUAAAGCUUUUCAUGCAAAAGGUAAGUCAAACCAGUCCACAAAGAUAAGCCUUGCAUACUCCUUGGCGUCACUUUAUUUUGGUUUAUGACGGGUAAGUCUAGCUGAGUACAUUCUCGUACUCAGGGUUUUAUUUACCCUUGUUGCAGAUGAUGUCGUUUGUCACGGCUACUGUGCUAACUGUCAUCAUCUAGCUGCGGACGAUGAAUAGAUCUUGGGCAUGAUCAACUCCUUUAUCUUCAGUUAUGCUUUUGUUGGAAUGACUAUGGAACUCGCAUGUAAUUAAACUGGGUGUGUGAUGUUUCAAAACUACUUUGCUUCCGCUACUAAACUGGUUUGUAAUAACUUUGUUCCAACUCUGAUGUGUUGUAAAACUAUGUUCUGUGAUGAAUGUAUGUAAUCUGUGAUGGCGAUGCUUGAUCAUGUACGAUCUUGGUUGUAUGUUGGUUGAAUCGAGGUCUUUUGAGGUUUCAUCGGACUACCGGGUUUAUAUGGGUUCAAGUCCAUUGGCUUUACUGCUUUGUGGUCGCUAAUUCACUUGAAUUCUUAUAAGUUGGAUGGUUCUAUUACAGCUGGCAUCAGAGCAAGAUUAAGCAUUUAACCAUCAUAGAUGUAUUUAAAAACAAAUGAAUUUGAUUUUUCCCAAACUAAUUGGCAAAUUAGACUAUACAUAGGGCUGUUUUAAAAAUGCUUCAAUAACUUAUACCAUGCCAGUGGUCAUAUCAUUUAUGCCCAUAUAAGGACUUCUAGGUGGCUUAAUAUUACUAACAUGGGGGUUUUUCCUUUCGUCGUCCAUAUGGCGUGCAAUAAUAUGGAUGCCACUUACUUAAGUGGUAAUGAAUGGAUCACUUACCUCUAGGCCAUGGUAAGCAAUGUUUGUUUUCUUUCGUCGUCCAUACGGCGUGAAAUUGUAUGGAUGCCACUCACUUGAGUGGUAAUGCAUGGAUCUAUAUGCCUCUACGUUACGGUAAGUGUGAGCUGUGAGAGCAUGACCGUCCAACCGUCGGUCUAGGGGAGUGUUAGCUGUGCUUACUGGAAUAUUUACAUGUUUCACACAUGUAUAUAUGAAGGUACUUAAUUGUGGGUAGUAGGUGCAGUCGUGUAUACAUGUUUCAUGUAUAUAUGGAUGUAUCCUAAAUGGGUAGUGUGCUGCGAUAUAUGUUCGGGAAUGUAUAUCGGAGUACCUGGCUUGAAUGUAGAUGGCUAGAUUUUCAUUUCGGCAUAUAUACUCUUGUGGGGUUGGGCAGAAAUAAAAUUUUCUGCAGGUACACUAACAACGAAACGUGUAGACCAUAUAGUUGCGUAUAAAGAGUGCACGUAUGUAUGCCACCGACUAUACCGAUAGGACAUUCUUCUAGGAAUGGAAAGGACGUAUGGAGCGUGCAUGCGUCAUGAAUUAUUUAUACAUAUCUUAUGCACUACUCAAUUCUUAUAAUUCUGAAACUAUAUCUAAAUUAUCUUCCCUUGUAAUUAAUCUCCCUUACUCAAGUUGAGGUCUUUCCUAUAGAUGGCAGCCCCACAUGUAAGUGAGACUUUUCUGGACUUGUUUGGCACUCCUACUUUGUUGUGGAGGGUGCUGAGUUCAGUGGGUUAUGAGGAACCACCUCGGUACACUUGGACAAAGGCCGAGCAUGCAGGAUCUUUACCUUGGGUAGAUAUCUAAGUUACAGUUCCCCCUUGCCCAAACAACCCACAGUGGCUAGGAUGGAUAGUAGAGUCCGAUGGUCAAACUCCCUAGGAGGGUGCCCAAGUAGCAGCUUUAGAAGUGCUAUUGGAGAUAUGCCAAGACUAUGGGGAUGAGCUAAUUAAUGGCCCAGCUAGAUGAAUUCCUAGAGUGAGUGUGACUGACACUUUUGUGUCUCAGAUAGGAACUGAGCCUUUAGAAAUGAAAGAAACCAUGCUAGGAUAUAGCUCUAGCCCUGCCAUGAGUGCUAUGCUGGCGGUACUUAAGCUGUACUAUGUACACCAGGACACCUACAUAGAAGCUAUGCUAGCGCUCCAGCAAGCUCAAGUUGGGCAGCGCAAAUUGCGCAAGCGUGUGCGCAAGCACCACAAGGCCUUUAGCGAUGCACAAGCUGAAAUCCAAAACUAUCACACCGCUUUGCAAGCUCGCCGCAACCAAGUUGAAAAUGCAGUUAGAGAGCGCAGUGAGGCACAAGCCCGCAUGAUGCAAAUGACUAGAGAGCGAGAUGAGGCUAUGCGCUUGGCUGAAAAUAGAGAGGCUGCUAGAUUUAGAGCCUUGUUCCAUGCUGAGCAUAGAGAGGAAGAACUGAUUACUAGGAUUGCUGAGCUACAGUUAGAUGUCCAUCACCUAAAUAAUAUCAUAAAUCCUAUUCCGCACCCUGUUCCCUUUAAUCAUGGAGAAGCUGCUAGUGAGGAAGAUCAGGAUGAUGGCAUCAUUUCUAAUGGAGAAUCCAAGGAGGAUAUGUAGCCUAGCAAUGAUUUUCAUGUUCAUGUAUCAGUAUCCAUCUCUUUAUGUAAUGGAUAUGUAAUUGUUGACACUAGCUAACACCACUUAGAUACUAGAUUGUCAUCCCCAGCAUGGUGCCAGAGUGUACAAAGGUAUUUAUAAAUGUAAAGGCUCUCUAGAAAAUAAUCUAUUCUAUCCGCAAGCGUACAGAUAAAACACCUCAUUGUAGCAUUUCACCAGGAUAAGUAUUCCAGGUAUCGUUAUUUAUAAUUUUGCUUAAGAGAACAAAAGAGAUGAAAUUAAAAUAAGGACAAAAUCUAUCAAGGCAUAGACUAGAGAUAAACUUGCAAGAACAUGAUUACUAAUGAGAAACUCGUCACACAGUCACUUACUUUAGCAGGGGUUAAACCAUAAAGAUAAUGAUAAUGAAUUAUAAGUUCAAAGGUAAAUUACACAGCAAUUAGAAAAUAGACUACUCCUCAUAUAUGUAGGUGAUGUCGGAUUAGCUAGAGAAUGGAUUCUAAGUUAUCUACUAUCUACUAAGUCAUAGUCUACUCUAGUUAUCUACAAGAUCAUGUAUAGCAUAAAAGACUCUUCAUUCAUGUAUAAGGAACAUUGCUAAAGUAAAUCAGAGCAUCGCCAGACUUACUCCACAAUACCGGUUCUGCCUGUCCUAUCAACGUAGGGUGGACUAUAUAAGAAUCAACGAAGCUGUCACUAUCGCGAACUGCCACACAACCCGGCCAAUAGGAUACAUUUGUAGAUAAAUAUCAUCUAAGCACCACGCUCACAUGUGAUCUAUCACCUAACUCCCUCGCGUCAAGAGCUAAGCGCUUUGCAAACUUAUACAUAAACUCAUUAUCAAUCAUAACUAUAUCAAAUAUAGAACUAGAGCAAACUAAGAGCAUAAUAAUUAGAGACAUAAUGCAAUUAGAACAAAGAAUUAGAGAAAGAUAUGAAUAAUACCAAUCUUUAUUACCGAAGAUCCAAAUCCAGAGCGUAGUGCUCUACUUCUCUAAUUGCUAUCUAAUCAAACCUCUAAACUCAAAGGAUUAGGGAGUAGCUAAUUCUAAUUCUCUGUGGGAGAGAAGCUCUAAACCCUAACUUUGAUGGCUACCUCUGAAUAAUGAUUUCUUCUCUUCUCCUCUCUCCUCCAGGGGUGGAGAGGCCUUAGUUUUAUAGUCCUUUCAAGUGAAUUUGGGCCGUUGGAUCAAACCGACAUUGAUUGUUUGGUUUAGAUUCAUCCUUUAGGUCGGUGGAGUUUAGUCCUGAAAGAGAGUCCCGAUCCAACUCCUAGCCAGGGCGGGCGCCCAAGGGGGGUGGGCGGGUGCCCUGCCCCAGAGCCCGAUCGUGUUCUCAUUCGUUCUCGUGGCUUCUGGACUCUUCUAGAUUGAGGAAUAUUGCACGGCACAUAAUUAUCUCGUUGUAAACAUGACAUGUGGGCCUUCUCUCCAUAUUCUCUGAUAACCCCCUGCAAAAAUAGAUAAACACCAAAGCUCAUGGAAUUCUGUCAGAUAAAACUCUAAUUCUAGAUGUUUGUUUCAUAUUGAUCCUUUUCUAUGUUUAUUUGAUUAUUAAUUUUAGUACUUAAGGACCGUCAACAGUAAUCUGAAUUUCAGCUGAGACUCUAUGUAUUUGGCUAUGGUGCCCCUCCUGUAAGACUUAAGUUGUGGAAGUGACUUUAUGUAACCCUAUGCACUUAUUUGUGAUGCUCCAUGUUUAUGUUGAGCUUGAAUAAUCUUCUGCAAUGAUUUUAAUCCUUGUGAAUUGUGACUGUGAAUGAUCGCGAGAAUAACCAAGUGUCGUGGAUGAUAUUCUCUUGUUGUACAAGGAUUAUUGUGCCUUGGAUUAUGUGAAUUUAUUUUGUUAAAUUCUGAAUGGCAGCAAUCGAGAUUCAUGGCAAUUAUAUCUGUUAUCCUAAACGGUCACUUGGUAGGCCUUGUGGAGAUGGCUCGCAGUACUCGCUCCGAUCACAAUGAGGUGCCGCCACCACUACCUCCUCCCCCGCCUACGCCUGCUGAGCUCCUGGCAACUCUUGUAGAGGGCCAGCGGAUGCUCAAUGAAGCCAUGCAGACUAUGGCACAGCAGAAUUGGGGUGGUCGCCAUAUCCGCCAAGGCGGAGAAGCGAAUCAGCACAGUAACUUCAAGGAUUUCCAAGACACGAAGCCACCAGUUUUCAAGAAGGCUGUUGAACCUCUAGAAGCUGAUGAAUGGCUCAACACCCUCGAGCAGAAGUUCCGCUUGCUGAGGGUGACUGAGAGUAAAGGCAGAAUAUGUAGCCCACCAGUUGGAGGGCAAAGCAGGUGUCUGGUGGAGUCAUUACAGGAGCAGCUUGCCUGCUAAUGCUGUUGUAACCUGGGAUCAGUUCAAAACUGCUUUCAGGAACACUUAUAUUCCCCUAGACCCAAUGACUAUCAAGCAUACCGAGUUCAUGAACCUGACUCAAGGCACUAAAAGCUUGACUGAGUAUCUUCAUGCUUUUAAUAACCUGUCUCGCUAUGCUCCGGAAAUUGUUGAUACUGAGGCCAAGAAGCUUGCAAGUUUCAAGAGAGGAUUGGGACCCAAGCUGUCCAAGAACAUGGCUGGUAAUAAGAGUACCUCCUUCAAUAAGUUUGUGAGUGAUGCGUUGACCUAGGAGAACUCCAAUGUUGUUUAUGCCGCGUCCAAGAACCGCAAAAGGGCCUAUGAGGCAGGUGCUUCACAAUCCAAGGCUCCGGUGACAAAAAAACCGGCCUAUCGCCCGCCCAAUGCUAUGACAAGGUACAGGCCACCACAGAAGAAGUCAAAUGUGAAGACAGGAGUUCGUAAGUCCUUCACAAUUGCUCUUCCUAGGGGUGCUACUGGUCAAGGAAGCCCCAAGACUCCCCCUGACAACCGCCCUUGCUUCAAUUGCAAACAAGUUGGUCACCGGGUGAGAGAUUGCCUUUAUCCCAAGUGGAAUUCUGUAGCUGGGGGUAAUAACCGCACCGGCCGAGUGCACUAUACCACCAUUGAAGAAAUCCCUGAAGGUGAAGUGGUCACAGCUGGUACGUUUCUUAUAAAUCAACACCCUGCAGUUGUCUUGUUUGAUUCUGGAGCUUCGCAUUCAUUUAUGAGUCAAGCAUUCGCAUCUAAGCAUGGGCAGCAUGUAGUUGAUCUUGACAGUGGCAAAUUUUGCAUUAGUGCUGUUGGGAAUCAAAUUUCCACAAACCAAUUAGUGAAGGAUGUGAAUAUUGCUAUUGAAGGUCGAAACUUUUCAGCAAAUAUUGUAAUUUUGUCGGGCUUGGGCAUAGAUGUUAUCUUGGGAAUGAAUUGGAUGAGUAAUAAUGGGGUGUUAAUAGACACCACCACGAGUGUAGUCAUGUUGCGGGAGCCUGAUAGCAAAGAAGCCUUCUUAGUGCAGCUUCCCAAGAAUGAUGACAUCCGUCACGCUGCUCAUGCUAUCAGACCACUCACUGUGGCAGAGAUUCCGGUAGUGUGUGAGUUUUCGGAUGUCUUUCUAGAGGAUCUGCCCGGGUUGCCACCAGAUAGAGACAUAGAGUUUAAAAUUGACCUAAUUCCGGGUACCGCACCUAUCUCUAGAAGGCCAUAUUGAAUGCCACCCAACGAGUUGGCAGAGUUGAAGAAGCAAUUGCACGAACUUCUAAAGAAAGGUCUUAUUCGGCCUAGUUCUUCUCCGUGGGGUUGUCCGGCUCUCUUUGUUAAGAAGAAGGACAAGUCUCCACGUAUGUGCGUAGACUAUCAUCCGCUAAAUGCCGUGACUGUUAAAAACAAGUAUCUUCUGCCUCGCAUUGAUAUCCUGUUUGAUCAAUUAGCUAAAGCUAAGGUAUUCUCGAAGAUUGAUCUGAGAUCCGGGUAUCAUCAAAUCAAGAUCCGACCCGAAGACAUUCCUAAAACGGCUUUCUCUACCAGGUAUGGGUUGUAUGAGUACCUAGUCAUGUCCUUUGGUCUGACUAAUGCCCCUUCUCAUUUCAUGUACCUGAUGAAUUCGGUGUUCAUGCCUGAACUGGAUAAGUUUGUGGUAGUGUUCAUCGAUGACAUAUUGGUGUAUUCUGAAAAUGCCCAAGAACAUGUGAAGCACCUUCGGAUCGUACUCACUAGAUUGCGAGAACAUCAGCUCUAUGCCAAGUUCAGCAAGUGUGAGUUUUUGCUGAAGAAAGUGCCUUUCCUAGGCCAUAUUUUAUCUGAAGACGGUAUUUCUGUUGACCCGUCAAAGGUGCAGGAGGUUCUAGACUGGAAGGCCCCGACUUCGGUACAUGAGGUUCGGAGUUUUCUCGGUCUAGCUGGAUAUUAUCGUCGUUAUAUUCUAGACUUCUCCAAAAUAGCUAAGCCUAUGACCAAGCUGCUGCAAAAAGAUGUGAAGUUUGUGUGGUCUCGGGAGUGUGAAGCCGCUUUCACCGCUUUACGUCACUUGCUAACCAUUGCUCCUGUUUUGGCACAGCCUGACAUUGAAAAGCCAUUUGAUGUCUUUUGUGAUGCCUCUGGCAUUGGCCUAGGUUGUGUACUCAUGCAAGAAGGCCGCGUUGUUGCCUACGCCUCUCGGCAGUUGAGGAAACAUGAAGCUAACUACCCAACUCAUGAUCUAGAGUUAGCAGCAGUUGUACACGCAUUGAAACUCUGGAGGCAUUAUCUAUUGGGUAAUCUGUGUCAUAUUUAUACCGACCAUAAGAGCCUCAAAUAUAUAUUCACUCAACCCGAGCUAAACAUGAGACAAACAAGAUGGCUGGAACUGAUAAAGGACUAUAAUCUGGAAGUACACUAUCAUCCAGGCAAGGCCAAUGUUGUAGCCGAUGCUCUCAGCCGAAAGCAACAUGUUGAACCUCUCCUGGAGGAAAGUUUAAAUUUAUUGCAUCCUGUGGUCUUGCACAACUUGUAGUCAGUUGUUCUUUAGAGAGUCAAAUCAUAGAGCUCCAAAAGACGGAUCCUGGUAUUUUCCAUAUCAAGAGAAAGAUGCAAGAGCAAGACACCAAGCAUUUCAGGGUAGACGAGAAAGGUGUACUGUGGUUUGACGAUCGACUAGUGGUACCUAAAGACCGUGACCUACGCAACAAGAUCUUAGAUGAAGCUCAUUCUUUCAAGUUGUCCAUUCAUCCUGGUAGUCGCAAAAUGUACCAAGACUUGAAACCUUGUUUCUGGUGGACCAAGAUGAAGAAGGAGAUAGCAGCUUAUGUUGCUAGGUGUGAGACUUGCUGCAGGGUAAAAGCAGUUCACCUCAAACCUGCAGGUUUAUUGCAAUCCUUAUCGGUUCCGGGUUGGAAGUGGGAAGAAAUCAGCAUGGAUUUCAUUGUUGGUCUUCCCCUCACCCAAAAAGGACACAAUUCCAUAUGGGUAAUUGUUGACCGUUUGACCAAGUCAGCCCAUUUUAUUCCAGUACAUUCUACAUACCGAAUAUCCGACUAUGCUGAGUUAUACUUCUCUCAGAUUGUUAGAUUGCACGGAGUGCCCCGCACUAUUAUUUCUGAUAGAGGUCCACAGUUAACUGCAUGCUUUUGGGAGCAUUUGCAUUCACUCCUUGGUACAACGUUGGUUCGCAGUUUAGCUUACCACCCUCAAACCUCCGGUCAGACUGAGCGUGUGAAUCAAAUUUUAGAGGAUAUGUUGAGGGCAUGUGUGAUAUCUUCCAAGGGUGCAUGGGAGAAAUGGCUACCCUUAGCUGAGUUCUCUUACAGCAAUAGUUAACAAGAGAGUAUCCAGAUGGCUCCUUUUGAAGCUUUAUAUGGCCGCAAGUGUAGAACUCCUCUAAACUGGGUCGAACCUGGUGAAAGGAGGUACUAUGGGAUCGACUUUGUGAAGGAAGCCGAAAAGCAAGUCCUCGUUAUCCAGAAACACAUGGAAGCCGCCCAAGCCAGACAGAAAAGCUAUGCCGAUAGAAGAAGGAAACCACUCGAGUUCGAAGUAGGUGACUUUGUGUACCUGAAGGUAUCCCCCAUGAAAGGAAUAAACCGCUUUGGUGUGAAAAGAAAGCUAGCCUCUAGGUAUGUGGGUCCCUACCAAAUCAUUGAGAAGAGCAGCAAGGUAGCUUACAAGGUACAACUACCUCCGGAACUGGGAGCCAUUUUCCCUGUUUUUCAUGUGUCUCAACUCAAGAAGUGUCUUCGUGUGCCCGAAGAGCGAGUUGAAACAAGAGAUCUUAAGUUGCAGUCUGAUCUAUCCUAUGAAGAAAAGCCUGUGCAAGUUCUUGAUGUCAAGGAAAGAGUUACUCGAGGGAGAGUGAUUAAAAUUUUUAGGAUCUUGUGGAACCGUCAAAGUGAGAGAGAUGCCACAUGGGAAAGGGAAGACUAUUUACAAGUAACUUAUCCCUCAUUCUAUGAAAAAUGGUACGUCUUUCAAAUCUUGGGACGAGAUUUCUGUAAGGGGGGAGGGCUGUAACACUCCUAGUGCUAGCUUGCAUGUUAACCAUGAGCAUUGCAUCAACAUAAGCAUCAUCAUGAUCACUCAUAAGCAUCAUACCAUGAUCACAUGCCAUUUGCUACAUAUACUAUGUGAUUGGAUUGCUAUAUGACUUGCUAUGGUUGAUUGUAAUGGGUGACCAAUGCAUACAAGUGUACAAUCUUUUCCAAAAUACUUUAAUCAUGUUUAGAAUAACAUUUUGAACAAAGUUUAUGCUGGAGGUUUUGGCCAAAAAUGCCCCUAAGCUAUGGUUAACCUUAAGUUGACCUAAUUGACCCCCUAGACCUCUUUUCAAAGAUGUUUUAUGAAACUUGUGUUAAAGACCUUGCAUGUAAAUGACACCUGAAACAAAGAUGUAGUAAAUGUUAUAAGCUACAAAAGUUAUGUUGAUGACUUUUCAUGAAAAAGCACGCAACCCAUUCAAAUUUAGCCCACAAGCCAGAAAUCAGUGCUGUUUUCACACAGCCGAAUUUGGCUAAGUCUGGGAUUCGGCAGAUUCGACAUAGGCUCAUUGGGAGCCUUGUGGUUUGAAAUCCAGGCCGAGUUAGACUUUGAUCUUGUAAGGAAACCUGUAGAUCUCGUGUAGCUCUAACUCAAGGAACAAAUUUGAGCCAAAACCAUCAAGUGAGACGUGAGUAAAAUGUUGGCAAAGAUCGAGCUUCAGUCAGUGGCCAUGGCGACUAAAUCGCUCGAUUCAGUUCGGACAGAACUCGCCCGCCACUGCGUGUCCGGCCACCUGUCGGCCGUACGCCGUCGAUGACCCCUCCUGUCAGCCCCGACGUCAUCCACAAGACGCCACGCACCGAGUGGACACCUCAGACGCGCCAUUCGCCCCUCCAGAGCGCCACAUUGUGUCCGCCUUCGUCCUCGGCGAGCUCUGCCACGCUUCGGCGAGCUCUCCCGGCCGCUCCACCGUGUCUCCGGCCAAGCUAGUCCACCCAGAGCUCCGCCUCGACGUCCUCUACCUCGACGUCCACUCCUUUCCCUUAGCCGAGCACUGGUGAGGCCGCAUUGCCACCCCCGUCGCGAGCUCAACCACGCCGGAGUUCGUAGAGAUCACUGGCGACGUGGCCAGACCUCUCUGGUUCACCUCUGGUCGUGGUUCUUCUUCCUAUAGCUUCGCCUUGAGUCGCUCUUGCUCGUCCACAACCUCUACCGCGUCGCCGUUGCCUAGGUUCGCCGGCGUAACGCCGUGCAGCACCGCCGCUCCACCAUUUGCGACGGCGAGCAACCUAGGGUCCAGUAGAGCGCGAGUGAAGUAGGUCAAUGGAUUCGCCUUGAGGAGAGGAACACGUAGAUGCCCUUGGAUCCAUCGGAGACCUCGCCGUCGUCGAGUUUCGCAAGCGACGAGCUUCUCCCUGUCUCUGUCUCUCUGUCGCGUGGGUCCCGUGUGUUAGGGGAUCCCACCUGUCAGUCUCUCUCUCUCACACCUCUGAUUCACUGUUUUACAGAUCCUGUGUUGAUUUUGUAAAAUUCAUAUCUUGAGUUUUACAGAUCCAAAUGAUGUGGUUCCAAUUUUGCUAGGUUCUUAUGGUAAUCUAGUUUCUACUAAAAAUAUGAAACAUGCCAUGUUUUUGAAGAAAUAAAUAGAUAUGAUUUAAUCUUGAUUAAAAAGGAGGUAAUUGUAUCUUGAGAUCUGUGGAUAUGAUGGCCAUGCAAAUUUAGGGUGUUGUUACUCAUGGCAUAAAUAUGCUCUGAUAAAUUUAUCAUGAAUUUUGGGGGUCUGAUUGUGAAGUUAUAAAUAUUUCUUGUUUAAAUAGGAGUUUCUUGUGGUAUUUUUAGUAAAAACAUUAUAACUCCUUCUUUGGUGAAACUUGCUGGGUUAUACUCAUGUGUAAUCAAAGCUAGGAAAAAUCUGAAAUCUGUUGUUUGACACUUUUUGAUAGGGUUUCACAUUUAUGCCUUGCAUGCCCUUGUUAGCUUGUUAUUUUUAUACCUCACAAUCUGCAUGUGCAAGUGCCCUGAAAAUUUACAGUGACCUUAUGAUUAUGUAGAUAGCUUGCUGUAAUUUUCUUAGUACUUUUAGAGCACUUGUGGUAUAUGCUCAUUAAAUCACCCUAAUAAAUAAAUAAAUAGAAAAUGUGAUAAUAGGAAUGAGUUUAGACCUUGCCAUGAUGUUUUCUGGUGUUUCUUAGACAUGUUCUAUCUACUGGUGCAUUUGGUCUGAACGAAUGUUACAUUCUUAAUAUGUGUAAAAUUUUAUUUUUGCUAAUUAUGUCUUUCCUAGAGCUUUUCUGUGUAGCUGACAGUAAUUGUUUAGGAACUACUUGAAGACGAUGUUUUAUGGAAAACUUGCCUAUAACAAACUUGUAGCUAACUUGCGUAUCUACUUCGUGUCCAAAUUUCAUGACAGUUGGUUGAGUAGUUUGAAAGUUAUGAAUGUUGCAAGAAGCUGCUACGAAGUGCUUGCUCUCUGGAUUUUCCAGAACAGCCAGCAUACUUUGUCUGUUUUAGCAUACUUCGGUUGGGAAUCUUUCUGGGGUGUCUAAAAGUGAAUUGUAGGCUAUUUGCUAAGCUUUCCAGAAAGUAUCUAUUUGCUUAGUUUGGCCAAAGGAUGCUUAAGUUGUAACUGAAACUUGUGACUAGUUAAUCUGUACAUGACCCCAGUUGUUGUGUAUGGGUAGCUAAGGUUGAUUGCUUGUCUAGUUAGCCUCUCUACCAGAGAAGAAGUAUGCACUUACUUGUUAUUCUGUGAUUCAUCUAAGUUUGGAAGUUUAUGCUCAUGUUUAUACCUUGUUGUAUGUUCCUUGGCUCAGCAUCAUGACAUAUUGCAUCUUAUGUGCAUUCCCUAUGUUUAUCGCCUUGUCAUGCAUACAUAGGUGUACCCAAGGGAGUGACGGUCUUGGAGUACGAGCUGCCAGAGCCGGAAGAACAACAAGGGGAGCCACCUCAAGGAGCUGAGGAGGAGGACCUGCCAGAGUGUCCUGACCACCACCCGUCCACCUACGUUGAAGGCAAGCCCCGAAGCAUUAUAAGCCUCCCACUAUUUUUGUUAUCAUGUUCAGCCAUCAAUUGACUAUGGUUAUGUAUUGUUGCAUUAAGUGUUAGGCAUUGAUAUGACACCCUUGCUGCAUAAUGACUACCUUGUCCACCUCAUACCUUACCUAAGUAGGUCUAGGAUCGAAAUGAUGCUUAUCCAUGCUUAGCUCGGUAGAAGCCGGGUGAUUUCCGGUCACCUGCGAGAGAUAGGUGGAUGCUGAUCAUGGUUGGCUAUAUUUGCUAUCGUGGAAAUAACCAUGUGCUAAUAAUGAACUUGAGACCGGGUGGGAUGACGAUAGUGCAGCAACAAGGCAUGGAGGUCUUGGGUGUGAAUCUAUCCGUGUUUGUGUCGACUAAGGACCGAUUCACUGUACGUCCUAGUGUCAUGUUGAACGCAUGCCUAACACUUAGCUGGCCGGAUAAGUCAUUCCGACCGCGAAGCCUACGAGUGCAUCUCCGGCCGGAUACCCCGUUCGGUUUAAGUGCGCACCCCGGUUGGUAGCAAGGAUGUGCGGGGAGUCAAUGGCGUAAGACCGAGGUGUCAGGUUAGAGUCCUGACCCUGGUAGAUUGGCGGUCCCUGGGGGUGCGGCGCUGUACGGACCCGAGAAUUGGUCUGGAGUUGUGCUAAAGGUGAUCCGAGCUGCCCUCAUGAAGUAUGCUUGGAUGAGUGCUAGGAAUACCUGUAACACCCUAGGUGUUAAGCAUGCAUUUAGCCCUAUCACAACAUGCAUAAGCAUUCUCAUCAAGCAUAGCAUCAUGGGCAUGUCAUUCAUCCCAAAACCUGAUUUUAUGUGCUUUAUUUCAUGUGUUUUAAUUAUGCUAAAAAUAUGAUGCUUGCUUCUAAAAAUGUGAAAUAUUCAAACUAGGUUGAUUUAUGUGUAGGAAGAAUUUAGAGUAUUUUUUGUGUAAAUUUUGGAGCUAGCGAAUUUGAGAAAUGGAAUUUAUACAAGAUUUCCAAAUUGAAUUUAUUUAAAAACCUAGAACUAAGUUUUAAUUUGUGAUUCAAAUUCUAUUUGGAAUUUGGUCUUGCUUAUUAAAGCAAAGUUGUAGAGUUUUUGUUUUGGAACAACUUUGUUUUUGGGAGCAAGAGGUGAAAAUGAUUUUAAAUUGGUCCAAAUGAAUUUAGAAAGAAUUUGGAGAAAAGAAAUCCAAAAAAACAAAAAGGGCAGGCGCUGCUGGGCCAACCCCGCUUCCCUUUCGGCCCAGUGAGCGGCCCGGCCUGCUCCCCCUCUCCCCCUCUCUCCCGCACGCGGACGCGCCUCGCUCCACCCGGCGCCGACCACGUGGCGGCCGUACGCCAGCAUUGGACGCGCCCGGCCGGCCUCCAACCCCCCUGGUCGGGACGCCGGCUCGGGCUCCCAGGCCAUUUCCUCCGUUCUGUCCCCCGUGCCCUCCUUCUCCUUCCUCCCUCCACUCGCACCGCGCAGCAGCAGCAGCUCCUCCGCGCGCCAUUAACGGAGAAAGCCCCGCCACUCGCCGCCGAACACACUAGAGCCUCAAGCUCACCGCCGAGAGCACCAGCGCCUUCGUCAUCGUUAGGGUAAGCUUGUGCGCGCGUUCUAUCGAGGUGAGAGUCCGUCGAGCGCCAUGAAUAGCUCGCCGGAGUUACCCCGAGCUUGCCAGAGUACUCCGCCGCGACGGUCUUGUGUUUCUCUGCCUCUUUUCGCUGGUUCUUGGGUGCGCUAGGUCGGUAGGGUGGUGAGGAAGCUCGGAGAGGCGUUUGCGCACGCUCUACCGCGCCGGAGCGGCCUGGCCACGGCGAGCAGCGCCGCCGUGCCGCCAUGCAUGCUCGUCAGAGGUGUUCCGGUCAUCCUCCGGCCAAUCCAAGGGUACCGUUGGGUGCGCCUCGCUGCAGGGAGCACGUUGGUGCUUACCCCGUGGCCGGAGACCUCACCGCCGGCGAGAUCUGCUCGUCGGAGGUGAGCUCCCUCUCGGUCUCGCUGACCGGUGGGGUCGGGGACCCACUGUCAGUCGCAGGGGGGGACCCCGGUGGGUGUAGAUCUGGGUGCGCGUAGCCUUUUUCAUCGGUUUUCUUGAAUAAAUGAUUUCCAGAAAUUGAUUCAAAACUUGUAAAAUUCAUAUCUUGAGUUCUACAGCUCCAAAUUGGACGAAAUAAAUUUUGGUAUGCUCUAUAUUUCCAGAUCUACAGUUUGAUGUAAUUGCAUGUCAUGUUUGAGUAACUUUUCUGAAUGAAUAUAUUUAAUCUAUGUUUUUGCUAUACUUGGAAAAUGCAUAGUAAAUAAAAUAUGGUUCAGAAAAAUGUGAAACUUGAUUUGUUGGCUCUGCAUGUAUGUUUACUCACUGGGAAAAUAUUGGUACAUAUUAGUUGGUGUAUAAAUGAAUUUAUGGUAAUUUAAAUGCUUGCAUGGCAGUGAUUUAUGAUUUUUAAUAAUUAAUUGGAUCAUGCAAUAAAUCUGGAAAAUUUUGUGGGUGUUUCUUAUGAUAUUAGACAAAUUGUAAAAAUAUGAAAUCUGUUGUUUGACACUUAUAUCACAGUAGAGUGAUUAUACUUACCCUAUGAAUUAAUCUUGUGAUUUUUGUGGCUCAAAAUAAGUAUCCAAAAAUUAUGAAAAAUUUACAGUAGACUUUAUGCUUAACUGGUAGUCUCCUGUAAUUUUUGUGGAAUUUAUUCAUGAACAGAAUUGCAUGUGAUUUUUAAUGUGCCUAGAAAUGAAUAAAGAAAAUUAUGAAUUGUUGUGUAUAUAGGUUGAAUAGAAUAAGUUGGGUUUGGUGUAUCUUUGAUGCAUCAUGUGGGUUGCUGGUUGCAUUUGAAAAAUAAAUUGUAGAAGAGAAUGCAAUAGAUGUUUGAUUCAAUUGUUGUUCUUGGAUGAUGUUGACUACCUUGUAAUGAGCAUGACCGAGUACAUUACAUAUGCAUCAUGUCAUGACUCCUUUGGUACUUUAUCAUACAAGCAUCCACUCGGGCAUCUCGCACUCCACUCAUAAGCACACAUGCAUCAUACAGGCUCGCAGGAGAACGAAGUGGGACCCGAGGAACCCGAGGAGAUUCAGGAGCAGGAACCUCCGGAAGCACCGGAACCCGGAGAAGAGCUACAGGAGUGUCCGGAUCACCGACCCAGCACGUUUGAGAAAGGCAAGCCCCGGAGCAUUCUAAGUCUCCCUAUUCUCACUAACUUAUAUGAUGCGCUAUAAUUGUUCUACUAUAUUGCAUCUAAGUGAUAGGAUUUGAUUGAUACCGUUGAUGCAUAUGUACUCCUUGUUAUCCCUACUCGUUCACCUACCUUGUCCUAUGUAGAUAGGCACGGAGUCUAUGCUUAGCUUGCUUAGUCCGGUAGAAGUCGGGUGAUUUCCUGUCACCUGCAAGAAAUAGGUGGAUACCUGCUUGAUUAAGCAUUGGUUGCUUGGGGAAAAGAAUAACCGAGUGUGGAAUGUAACUGGAGACCGGGCAGGGUCUUAUGGUGGGUUGACCAUAGUGCCCCUGCCUGCGUCGAUUAAGGACCGAUCGUUGACGGCCCUCUUGUCAUGUUGAACGCAUGCCCCACACUUAGCUGGAAGGAUAAGUCGUUCCGACCGCGAAGCCUGAACACUAUCCGGGCCGGGAAUCGAGCCGCCAUGUGCUGUAUUGGUGAUGGUUGAGGAGAACGACGAGGGCGCGGCGUGCAACCUUGGUAUACCUUGGAUACCUCGGUCACCGGAACGGUCCUCGGGUACUGGCGGUGCCUGCCUAACCCGCGAAUUGGUCUUGGAUAGUGUAAUACGGUGAUCUGUAGCUCACUUGAUCAGUGAGUGUGGUUUGUGUGGGGAAUACCUCGCCAGCUGGUUAGAAAUCGAUUCGAAUCGCCAUCGCUCCUGGAUAGUGAGCACUUGACAUGAGCUUCGUCCUCGUAGUAAGGACUAUGGAACACUUGGGUUAUGUUGAUGAAUGGUUUUAAGAAAUGCUAUGAUAAGUUACUAUCAUAUCCUUAUACUUGCUUGUAAUAGUGCUGGUGCAAACCUAGAUGAUAGGUAAUGAUACUUUCAACUUGAGCAAAUUAAAAGAAGAAAGACUUAUGUAGGUUAUGAUAGUAAAAUCCUGCGGUUUUGCAAAAUGGUUGUCAGCUACCCCACUAUAUAGCCUUCAUGAUCCUUGAUGAGUCUUUAUUUUAAGUUUAUGACGGGUAAGUCUAGCUGAGUACCUUCUCGUACUCAGGGUUCUACUCCCAUGUUGUUUUGCAGAUGGUCAAAUGUACUAUGGUUAUUGCAUCCUCUGUCUGUACCCAGCCAUGGGUGAUUACUAGACCAAGGGCAAUGGUCACUCCGUCUUAUCUGUUGCUUUUGUGGGAUUGACCGAACUAUGGCACUGUAUCAGACUAAAUGUGUGUGUUGUAUUUUCGAAUUAUGAAGCUUCCGCUACUUGAAGAACUUGGUUUGUAAUAAUUUUAAGAACUCCGAUGUAUUUUAUGAAUGUUGUACUCUGAAUGUAUUUGUGAAUGGCGACCGCUAAACUUAUUACGAUCUUGGCUGUUGUGCGAUAUGUGGUUUGAAAUCCUUCGAGAUUUCACGGACUACCGGGAUUAUAUGGGCUUAAGCGUGAUGGUUUGACUAUGCAAAUGGUCACUGUUAGGCUUAAUCUCUUAUAAUUUGGUCGGUUCUGUUACAGCUGGCAUCGGAGCAAGGUUUAGCAAGUUACUGUUCAUAAGUACGUUCUAAACAAAAUCUAAACCGGUCUAAUAAAGGAUUUUAUUAAUUAAUAAUGAUCAAGGUGUUCAACUAAGUUUUGGAAAACUAUCUAGUGUGCCAUGGUCAUAUCCUUUAUGCCCAGUUAAGGACUCUAAGGUGGCUAGUUAAGUACUGACUUCGGGGUUAAUGCAUCAUAUUUUUAUUUCGUCGCUCAUACGGCGUGCAAUAGUAUGAGUACCAUUCAUUUGAGUGGUAAUGUAUGGAUCUAUUUUUCCUCUACGUCAUGGUAAGUGGGAGCUGUGAGAGCAUGAUCGGAUACACUGCCGGUCUAGGGGAGUGUUGUUAGGUACUGUGUCAUGCACACAUGUUUUGGUGUGUCUUGGAAACAGUACCGCAUGUUGGGAAUUCCGUCCUGAGAUGCGAUGCCGUCAUUAGGGCGAUGAUAUGGGUAGCAACACAUCACAUGCAUGGACGGGUGUCAGUGUAUGUGAAGUGCAUAGUUUUAAAUUUUGUUUUGCAUUAGCAUACUGUGGGUGGGCUGAAAUGAGUUUUCUGCAGGUACCCUAACCACGUUCUCGCUUAGAACGCUAGUUACGUUAUGAGAGAACGUUGUGUGCCACCGCAUAUACCGCUUAGUGUUAACCUUUGUUUCUAAGUUUGUGAGAUCGUAAGUUCGUGCAUGCAUCAUGUUCAUGUCAUAUCAUUGCUUACUUUCCCCCUUAAUUUAAUCUGUCCCAAUUCUAAAUAAAAUAAUUAAAGGUAAUCCUCGCUCUUACCCACGGUAUUCCAUUUGCAGCAGAUGGCACGCACUAGGCCCACCGCUCGCAAGUCCACUGGUGGGCGGGCCCCUCGCCAUCCGUUGGCAGCUAGGAGCUUGCGACAUAAGAGCAAGUUCCUGGAGGAGUUUGGGAUGCCCACUUUGCUUUGGAGGGUGCUCAGUUCGAUGGGGUAUCCCGAAGGAAGGGAGCCUCGCUACUAUUGGGAUAAGGAGCCGCUUGGUGACGAGACCCUGGUGGGGAUCGAGGCAGUUGUCCCUACCAGUGGAGGAGACCCUGCUUGGGGCGGCUGGGUGUACGAGUCCCGAGGUGUCACACCUUUCCACGGUGCCAGCAGGGCAGCUUUCGCAGUUCUGAGGGACCUCAUGGAGAGGUUUCCGCAGGAGCUGGCCCACGCCUUCACUGGGGUGUUUCCCCGGGGUGACCCCUACACUUUGGCGUGGGAUCAGUCUGAGGUGAAUGCUCUAGAGAGGAGUGCGGAUGAGGACCAGCACAGUGACGAUGCAGCUAUGAGUGCCAUGUACGCGUUGAUGAAGACCUAUGGAGGCCUGGAGUGUUGUUUGGGCCGCUUGUCCGGGUCUCUUCUCACCGUCCAGGAUGAGAAGCGUCAGUUGCAACGUGAAUUCGACUCUGAGGUUGAGAGGCUGCAGGCAGAGUUGGCCCGUGUGACUAGAGAGAGAGACCAGGCAGUCCAGAAGAACAGUGAGCUGAGUCAGGACCUGCUUGCAGUGCGGGAGCAGAAGGACAGGGUGACUACUGCUCACAGGAACUGCGAGCGCAUGCUAGUCCAUGUGCUUGGAUAGAGGAAUGAAGCCUGGCAUGAGGAGGACACUUUGAGGGCCCGACAGCUAGAGCUAGAGCAGCAGCUAGCCAAUGCCGAGGAGUACAAUGAGAACUUGCAUGAGGAGAUCCACCAGCUGCAUAACCAGCUCCACCCUCACCACCUGCCUGGAGCAGCUGAGCUAGACUCUGAGGACGAGAUGGACGCGGAUCCCGAGAUAGGAGCAGCUGCUAGUGGAGAUGAAGAUGAGGAUGGCUCCGACAUGGACAGUGACCAUAGCGAGUAGAUGCUAGGGCUCUAGAGCUAGUCCUUCUUCUUGUGUUGUUGUAUGUUGCAUGGCAUGUCGUGUACUUUUGGAUCUGGGCUAUGUAAGACUUUAUGAGUUAAUGCUGGCAAGUUGGAUGUACGCGAACCUUGUUGCGUAAACGUUAAGCAAUCUGUUAGUGAUGUUGUGCGUAGAUGAUGAAUUGUUGUGCCUCUGUUUAUUGUGGGAAUUUAUUCCCUCAGUAAAUUCAGUACGUCACGAUUCUACACAUUUCUACCGUUGAUAACAACUCCUAACAAAUGCUUAUCAUUGACGUAUGCAGACGGUGCAAACACGUGGCGGGGGUAACAGCAAUCCGGGCCUUGGAGCAGGUACAUCCGGAGGUGGGGCUCAACGGAAUGAGGACAGAGCACCAACACCGCCACCACCACCGCCUCCUCCGUACACUGCGGACAUGUUUUUCGCGCAGUUUCUGGGGAGCCAACACAACAUGGAACAGUUGCAGCGCAACAUGGAAGAGGCUCUGCGCAACAUAGCUGACAACACCCGUCGUGGGGAUAAUCAGGGUGGCCGAGAGGUCAACCAGUAUAGUUCGUUCAAGGACUUCACGGAUACCAAGCCACCAAUCUUCAAAGAGGCUUUGGAACCACUUGAGGCAGAUGAGUGGAUCAACACUAUGGAGCAGAAGUUUCGUCUUCUCUGAAUGACAGAAGAACUCAAGGCUGAGUAUGCGGCACAUCAGUUGCAAGGACCCGCUGGGAUUUGGUGGUCCCAUCACCGUACCACCUACCCAGAGGGGACCCCAAUUACCUGGAACUGUUUCACCACAGCUUUCCGGGGAAAUUACAUUCCUCCGGGUGUGGUUGAAAUGAAGGUUGGGGAGUUCAUGAGGCUGUCCCAGGGGACGAAAUCGGUGAAGGAGUAUCUACAUGCUUUCAAUAAUCUCGCUCGCUAUGCCCCUGAGUUUGUAAACAUGGAGGCUAAGAAGAUUGCUAGUUUCCAAAGGGGCUUGAAUCCAAAGAUGCUGAAGACCAUGCGUACAGGGGCCAGGGCUACCUUCAAUGCUUACAUCAGUGACUGUCUCACCCAGGAGAACAACAACAACUACUACAGUGCAUCCAAGUCACGUAAGAGGGCUUUUGAAGCCGGAUCAUCUCAGUCCAGGGCACCAGUGGCAGGGCGACAGCAGUAUCGUCCUCCUGCCCCAGGUGCUAGGUUCCGACCACCGCAGAGAAGGAACACCGGGCAUCCAACACAGCAGAAGCCGUAUAAGGUGGCGAUAACCCCUGCCAAGCCAAAGGCAGUUCAAGCUGCAGCACCUGCCGUCAACAAUGCGCCCAACGGUCCAUGCUAUAACUGCCACAAGAUGGGGCACUUUGCUAAGGAAUGUCCCUACCCCAAGAGGCAGCAGCCAACCUAUCCAGCUCGUGUGCACCAUACCUCGAUCGAGGAGAUCCCGGAAGGAGAACCGGUAACAGCUAGUAUGUUUCCUGUCAACCAACAUCUCGCAGUUGUUUUGUUUGAUUCUGGAUCAUCGCAUUCAUUCAUGAGCCAAGCAUUUGCACAAAAGCAUAGUCAACCAGUUAUAGAUCUGGGUUAUGGCUACCGCAUCAGCUCAGCAGGGGCAGAUGUGUUGACCAAUAGAGUGGUUCGAGGGGCAACCCUGGAUAUAAGUGGCCGAGUUUUUCGGGUAAAUCUAGUGGUCAUGCCUGGGUUAGUUUUGGAUGUUAUCGUGGGCAUGAACUGGAUGAGAGAAUGGGAUGCUGUCAUAGAUACUGGGAAGAGAAUGUUAUCUCUCAGAGAACCGCAGAGCAAUCGCUCUUUUCAAGUACCUCUGCCCCGUCGUCUUGACUUUGCUAGCAUCUCUUGUGCUACGCACGUGGUUCCAUUACCACAGAUCCCAGUAGUCUGUGAGUUCCCUGAUGUUUUCCAUGAGGAAUUACCAGGACUUCCCCCGGAUAGGGAAGUAGAGUUUGCAAUCGAGUUGAUACCAGGUACAGCACCAAUAUCUAGAAGGCCGUACUGGAUGCCACCAAACGAACUCGCCGAGUUGAAAAAUCAACUAAAGGAGUUGCUGGAUAAAGGAUUCAUUCGGCCAAGUUCGUCGGAAUGGGGUUGUCCGGCGUUGUUUGUGAAAAAGAAGGAUCAAUCGUUGCGCAUGUGCGUGGACUAUCGUCCACUCAAUGCAGUGACAAUCAAGAAUAAGUAUCCUUUACCAAGGAUUGAUAUCCUGUUUGAUCAGUUGUCCAAGGCAAAAGUGUUUUCCAAGAUAGACCUGAGGUCAGGGUAUCACCAAAUCAAGAUUCGUCCGCAAGAUAUCCCGAAGACUGCUUUUUCCAUCAGAUAUGGGUUGUAUGAGUACCUUGUCAUGUCCUUUGGAUUGACAAAUGCUCCUGCAUACUUUAUGUAUCUGAUGAAUUCAGUCUUUAUGCCAGAAUUGGAUAAGUUUGUUGUGGUGUUUAUCGAUGAUAUUCUGGUUUAUUCAGAAAAUGAGCAAGAUCACACCGAGCAUCUGAGAAUCGUGCUGACACGAUUACGAGAGCAUCAGUUAUAUGCCAAGUUCAGCAAGUGUGAGUUCUGGUUGAAGAAAGUUCCUUUCCUAGGGCACAUUCUGUCUGAAGAAGGGAUUGUUGUGGAUCCGUCAAAAGUGCUGGAAGUCAUGGACUGGAAGGUACCAACUUCUGUCUCGGAAGUUAGAAGUUUUCUUGGUCUGGCCGGGUAUUAUCGCCGAUUCAUACCUGACUUCUCCAAGAUUGCUAAGCCAAUGACAAGUUUGCUGCAAAAGGAUCAUAAGUUUGUCUGGACGGAAGGGUGUGAGUUAGCCUUCCGCACCUUGCGAAAGUUGCUAACCACUGCUCCCGUUCUGGCACAACCUAAUAUCGAAAAGCCUUUUGAUGUGUUUUGCGACGCAUCGAAGAGUGGCCUGGGGUGUGUGUUGAUGCAAGAUGGCAGAGUGAUAGCUUAUGCUUCUCGACAGUUGAGGAAGCAUGAAGUCAACUACCCAACGCACGACCUCGAGUUAGCCGCAGUAGUGCACGCUUUGAAGAUUUGGAGACACUAUCUGCUGGGGAAUAAGUGUCACGUUUUCACCGACCAUAAGAGCUUGAAGUACAUCUUCACUCAGUCCGAGCUAAAUGUGAGGCAACGACGGUGGUUAGAGCUAAUCAAGGACUAUGAUCUGGAAGUUCACUAUCAUCCGGGCAAGGCUAAUGUAGUAGCAGAUGCGUUGAGUCGUAAACCGCACUAUCAAGUGGUUCAACCGUUGUUUGAAGAUGGGUUCAAUCUCAUGCAUCCUGAGGUCUUAUGUCACAUACAACUCAGUUGUUCACUCGAGAGUCAAGUCAUUGAAGGACAGAAAACAGACAAGGGUAUUUUCCACAUCAAGGAGAAGAUCAAAGAUGACCCAAAGACUCAAUUUUGAGUUGAUGAGAAAGGGGUACUGUGGUUUCAACAUCGGUUAGUAGUCCCGAAGGAUCGGGAAUUGAAGAAUCGCAUCAUGGAUGAAGCCCAUCUCUCUAAGCUUUCUAUUCAUCCUGGCAGUAGCAAAAUGUAUCAAGAUCUAAGACCCCACUUUUGGUGGACCAAGAUGAAGAAAGAGAUAGCUGCGUAUGUAGCCCAUUGUGACACGUGUUGCAGAGUUAAGGCCAUCCAUAUGAAACCUGCAGGUCUGUUGCAACCGUUAUCAGUUCCAGAAUGGAAAUGGGAAGAGGUCAGUAUGGACUUUAUCACAGGAUUACUGACCACGAGGAAGGGGAAUGACUCGAUUUGGGUGAUCAUAGAUCGAUUAACCAAGUCGGCUCAUUUCAUUCCAGUCAAGAACACAUACAGACCUCCCGAGUAUGCCGAUAUAUAUGGCUGAGAUUGUUAAGUUGCAUGGUAUUCCCAAGACCAUCAUAUCAGAUAGAGGACCACAGUUCACCGCUCACUUUUGGGAGCGAAUGCAUAAGAAUUUGGGAACCAGUCUGAUAAGAAGCACGGCGUACCAUCCCCAGACUUCAGGUCAAACGGAGAGGCUAAACCAAGUAUUGGAAGAUAUGCUGAGGGCCUGUGUGCUAUCGUCCAAGGGAUCAUCGGAGUCAUGGUUACCUCUGGCUGAAUUCUCCUACAAUAACAGUUAUCAAGAGAGCAUCAAGAUGGCCCCGUUCGAAGCUUUGUAUGGUCGGAGAUGUAGAACUCCGUUGAACUGGGUUGAACCUGGUGAGAGAAGAUACUAUGGUAUCGACUUCGUGAAUGAGGCAGAGAAGAAGGUACAAAUCAUACAGCAGCAUAUGCGCGCAGCGCAAUCUCGACAAAAGAGUUAUGCUGAUAAGAGAAGAAGGCCACUUGAAUUCAAAGUAGGUGACUAUGUGUACCUCAAGGUUACGCCAAUGAAGAAGGUUCAGCGUUUCCGAGUUCGAAGCAAGCUUGCACCCAGAUAUGUGGGACCGUAUCAAGUACUGGAGAGGAAAGGCCCAGUGGCCUACAAGAUUCAGUUACCUGAAGAGUUGAGCUUGAUCUUAACGGUCUUCCAUGUGUCGCAACUGCGGAAAUGUUUGAAGGUACCUGAGCAAAGAAUUGAACCUCGAGGGAUCAAAAUAAAAGCAGAUUUAGAAUAUAAGGAGCAACCAGUGGGAAUUGUGGAUACCAAAGAACGGGUAACCCGAAACAGAGUUGUUCGAACAUACAAGGUGGUGUGGAGUCAUCAUGAAGAUAGGGAUGCCACCUGGGAAGCAGAGGAUUACUUGAAAACAGUUUAUCCAAAAUUUCAUAAGAAAUGGUUAGUAACCCAAAAUCUCGGGACGAGAUUUCCCUAAGGGGGAAGGGCUGUAACACCCUAUGUGUUAAGCAUGCAUUUAGCCCUAUCACAACAUGCAUAAGCAUUCUCAUCAAGCAUAGCAUCAUGGGCAUGUCAUUCAUCCCAAAACUUGAUUUUAUGUGCUUUAUUUCAUGUGUUUUAAUUAUGCUAAAAAUAUGAUGCUUGCUUCUAAAAAUGUGAAAUAUUCAAACUAGGUUGAUUUAUGUGUAGGAAGAAUUUAGAGUAUUUUUUGUGUAAAUUUUGGAGCUAUGGAAUUUGAGAAAUGGAAUUUAUACAAGAUUUCCAAAUUGAAUUUAUUUAAAAACCUAGAACUAAGUUUUAAUUUGUGAUUCAAAUUCUAUUUGGAAUUUGGUCUUGCUUAUUAAAGCAAAGUUGUAGAGUUUUUGUUUUGGACCAACUUUGUUUUUGGGAGCAAGAGGUGAAAAUGAUUUUAAAUUGGUCCAAAUGAAUUUAGAAAGAAUUUGGAGAAAAGAAAUUCAAAAAAAAAGAAAAGGGGCAGGCGCUGCUGGGCCAACCCCGCUUCCCUUUCGGCCCAGCGAGCGGCCCGGCCUGCUCCCCCUCUUCCCCUCUCUCCCGCGCGCGGCCGCGCCUCGCUCCACCCGGCGCCGGCCACGUGGCGGCCAUACGCCGGCAUUGGACGCGCCGCGGCCGGCCUCCAACCCCCCUGGUCGGGACGCCGGAUCGGGCUCCCAGGGCAUUUCCUCCGUUCUGUCCGCCGCGCCCUCCUUCUCCUUCCUCCCUCCGCUCACACCGUGCAGCAGCAGCAGUUCCUCCGCGCGCCAUUGCCGGAGAAAGCCCCGCCGCUCGCCGCCGACCACACCAGAGCCUCAAGCUCACCGUCGAGAGCACCAGCGCCUUCGUCAUCGUUAGGGUAAGCUUGUGCGCGCGUUCUACCGAGGUGAGAGUCCGUCGAGCGCCGUGAAUAGCUCGCCGGAGUUACCCCGAGCUUGCCAGAGUACUCCGCCACGACGGAUCUUGUGUUUCUCUGCCUCUUUUCGCUGGUUCUUGGGUGCGCUAGGUCGGUAGGGUGGUGAGGAAGCUUGGAGAGGCGUUUGCGCACGCUCUACCGCGCCGGAGCGGCCUGGCCACGGCGAGCAGCGCCGCCGUGCCGCCAUGCAUGCUCGUCGGAGGUGUUCCGGUCAUCCUCCGGCCAAUCCAAGGGUACCGUUGGGUGCGCCUCGCUGCGGGGAGCACGUUGGUGCUUACCCCGUGGCCGGAGACCUCACCGCCGGCGACAUCUGCUCGUCGGAGGUGAGCUCCCUCUCGGUCUCGCUGACCGGUGGGGUCGGGGACCCACUAUCGGUCGCAGGGGGACCCCGGUGGGUGUAGAUCUGGGUGCGCGUAGCCUUUUUCAUCGGUUUUCUUGAAUAAAUGAUUUCCAGAAAUUGAUUCAAAACAUGUAAAAUUCAUAUCUUGAGUUCUACAGCUCCAAAUUGGACGAAAUAAAUUUUGGUGUGCUCUAUAUUUCCAGAUCUACAGUUUGAUGUAAUUGCAUGUCAUGUUUGAGUAACUUUUCUGAAUGAAUAUAUUUAAUCUAUGUUUUUGCUAUACUUGGAAAAUGCAUAGUAAAUAAAGUAUGGUUCAGAAAAAUGUGAAUCUUGAUUUGUUGGCUCUGCAUGUAUGUUUACUCACUGGGAAAAUAUUGCUACAUAUUAUUUGUUGUAUAAAUGAAUUUAUGGUAAUUUAAAUGCUUGCAUGGCAGUGAUUUAUGAUUUUUAAUAAUUAAUUGGAUCAUGCAAUAAAUCUGGAAAAUUUUGUGGGUGUUUCUUAUGAUAUUAGACAAAUUGUAAAAAUAUGAAAUCUCUUGUUUGACACUUAUAUCACAGUAGAGUGAUUAUACUUUCCCUAUGAAUUAAUCUUGUGAUUUUUGUGGCUCAAAAUAAGUAUCCAAAAAUUAUGAAAAAUUUACAGUAGACUUUAUGCUUAGCUGGUAGUCUCCUAUAAUUUUUGUGGAAUUUAUUGAUGAACAGAAUUGCAUGUGAUUUUUAAUGGGCCUAGAAAUGAAUAAAGAAAAUUAUGAAUUGUUGUGUAUAUAGGUUGAAUAGAAUAAGUUGGGUUUGGUGUAUCUUUGAAGCAUCAUGUGGGUUGCUGGUUGCAUUUGAAAAAUAAAUUGUAGAAGAAAAUGCAAUAGAUGUUUGAUUCAAUUGUUGUUCUUGGAUGAUGUUGACUACCUUGUAAUGAGCAUGACCGAGUACAUUACAUAUGCAUCAUGUCAUGACUCCUUUGGUACUUUCUCAUACAAGCAUCCACUCGGGCAUCUCGCACUCCACUCAUAAGCACACAUGCAUCAUACAGGCUCGCAGGAGAACGAAGUGGGACCCGAGGAACCCGAGGAGAUUCAGGAGCAGGAACCUCCGGAAGCACCGGAACCCGGAGAAGAGCUACAGGAGUGUCCGGAUCACCGACCCAGCACGUUUGAGAAAGGCAAGCCCCGGAGCAUUCUAAGUCUCUCUAUUCUCGCUAACUUAUAUGAUGCGCUAUAAUUGUUCUACUAUAUUGCAUCUAAGUGAUAGGAUUUGAUUGAUACCGUUGAUGCAUAUGUACUCCUUGUUAUCCCUACUCGUUCACCUACCUUGUCCUAUGUAGAUAGGCACGGAGUCUAUGCUUAGCUUGCUUAGUCCGGUAGAAGUCGGGUGAUUUCCUGUCACCUGCGAGAAAUAGGUGGAUACCUGCUUGAUUAAGCAUUGGUUGCUUGGGGAAAAGAAUAACCGAGUGUGGAAUGUAACUGGAGACCGGGCAGGGUCUUAUGGUGGGUUGACCAUAGUGCCCCUGCCUGCGUCGAUUAAGGACCGAUCGUUGACGGCCCUCUUGUCAUGUUGAACGCAUGCCCCACACUUAGCUGGAAGGAUAAGUCGUUCCGACCGCGAAGCCUGAACACUAUCCGGGCCGGGAAUCGAGCCGCCAUGCGCUGUAUUGGUGAUGGUUGAGGAGAACGACGAGGGCGCGGCGCGCAACCUUGGUAUACCUUGGAUACCUCGGUCGCCGGAACGGUCCUCGGGUACUGGCGGUGCCUGCCGAACCCGCGAAUUGGUCCUGGAUAGUGUAAUACGGUGAUCUAUAGCUCACUUGAUCAGUGAGUGUGGUUUGUGUGGGGAAUACCUCGCCAGCUGGUUAGAAAUCGAUUCGAAUCGCCAUCGCUCCUGGAUAGUGAGCACUUGACAUGAGCUUCGUCCUUGUAUUAAGGACUAUGGAACACUUGGGUUAUGUUGAUGAAUGGUUUUAAGAAAUGCUAUGAUAAGGUACUAUCAUAUCCUUAUACUUGCUUGUAAUAGUGCAGGUGCAAACCUAGAUGAUAGGUAAUGAUACUUUCAACUUGAGCAAAUUAAAAGAAGAAAGACUUAUGUAGGUUAUGAUAGUAAAAUCCUACGGUUUUGCAAAAUGGUUGUCAGCUACCCCACUAUAUAGCCUUCAUGAUCCUUGAUGAGUCUUUAUUUUAAGUUUAUGACGGGUAAGUCUAGCUGAGUACCUUCUCGUACUCAGGGUUCUACUCCCAUGUUGUUUUGCAGAUGGUCAAAUGUACUAUGGUUAUUGCAUCCUCUGUCUGUACCCAGCCAUGGGUGAUGACUAGACCAAGGGCAAUGGUCACUCCGUCUUCUCUGUUGCUUUUGUGGGAUUGACCGAACUAUGGCACUGUAUCAGACUAAAUGUGUGUGUUGUAUUUUCGAAUUAUGAAGCUUCCGCUACUUGAAGAACUUGGUUUGUAAUAAUUUUAAGAACUCCGAUGUAUUUUAUGAAUGUUGUACUCUGAAUGUAUUUGUGAAUGGUGACCGCUAAACUUAUUACGAUCUUGGCUGUUGUGCGAUAUGUGGUUUGAAAUCCUUCGAGAUUUCACGGACUACCGGGAUUAUAUGGGCUUAAGCGUGAUGGUUUGACUAUGCAAAUGGUCACUGUUAGGCCUAAUCUCUUAUAAUUUGGUCGGUUCUAUUACAAUACCCCUCCAGCUGGAUAGGAAUCGAUUCGAAUCGCCGUCUCUCCCGGAUAGUGAGAACUUGACUCGGGCAGUGGCAACGUAGACCUCACUAAAUAAACUUAAUGGUUAUGAUGAGAAUGUGGAUAGCUAAGUGAUAAUCCGGAUAUGGUUAUUAUUUUGAUGCUUAAAUACUCAAGUGUAUGCUUAGAACAGGUGCUAAUCUAGUGGAUAGUUGUUAUAGUAAUGAACCUGCUGCUGAGAUGUUAUAAAUGGACUACUUACAACUAAAGCUUUUCAUGCAAAAGGUAAGUCAAACCAGUCCACAAAGAUAAGCCUUGCAUACUCCUUGGUGUCACUUUAUUUUGGUUUAUGACGGGUAAGUCUAGCUGAGUACAUUCUCGUACUCAGGGUUUUAUUUACCCUUGUUGCAGAUGAUGUCGUUUAUCACGGCUACUGUGCUAACUGUCAUCAUCCGGCUGUGGACGAUGAAUAGAUCUUGGGCAUGAUCAACUCCUUUAUCUUCAGUUAUGCUUUUGUUGGAAUGACUAUGGAAUUGGCAUGUAAUUAAACUGGGUGUGUGAUGUUUCAAAACUACUUUGCUUCCGCUACUAAACUGGUUUGUAAUAACUUUGUUCCAACUCCGAUGUGUUGUAAAACUAUGUUCUAUGAUGAAUGUAUGUAAUCUGUGAUGGCGAUGCUUGAUCAUGUACGAUCUUGGUUGUAUGUUGGUUCAAUCGAGGUCUUUUGAGAUUUCGUCGGACUACCGGGUUUAUAUGGGUUCGAGUCCAUUGGCUUGACUACUUUGUGGUCGCUAAUUCACUUGAAUUCUUAUAAAUUGGACGGUUCUGUUACAGUGAAUCGCCCAAAACCGCUCACAAGCUUGACACGAGCCACCCACAAGAACUCCGGGCGGUCUUCGUGCCUCCAAUCACCACCGAACCGUCUAGGUGAUGGCGAUCACCAAGAGUAACAAGCAAAGAACUCUCACUUGACCCAAACAAGUCACUAAAGAGUGGUGGAUACACACUUGACUCUUGGAAUUCAACUAGAGAAGGAUUCUCACAAGAAAUCACUCAAAUCUCAAUCCUUUUUAGGCUCUUGCUACUCUCUUGCUCCACAACAAGUUUCUCAAAUGUUCAAAUGGGCAAGAGACCUCUCAUGGAUGAGGUGGAGGAGUAUAAAUACACCCCACAAAAUCCAAAGGUCAGCCAACCGUUUUCCACUGAAAACGGGGUCAUCAGACGCUGUUGAUGUUGCACCGGACACUCUGCACCGAGCGUCCGGUGACACCCAAUGGCUAACUGUACCUGCGUCUGACAGGUCACUAGACGCUACUUCCCAGCGUCCGGUGGCACCGCCCGGUGCUCCGGGGAGUUUUACAAACUCCCUGAGUUUAAGACCGGACGCUACCCGGUGCGUUCGGUGCUAGCGUCCGGUGCUCGGGGCAGGUUUACAACCUCCCUGGGUAUCGGACCGGACGCUGCCCGGUGAGUCCAGUGCCAGCGUCCGGUGCCUAACCCUAAGCACCAAAGCUCUCCAACGGCUAAGGACCUCACCGGACGCACUCACAGAGCGUCCGGUGCAUCGUCCGAUGCCUACUUAAGCACCCUAACUUCGUCGAAACGCGAUCGUUCCAAAACGAAGUUGGUUCCUCUCGAUCUAAGGACUAUCUCUGAGCUGCCUAGUGCUAGGUUUACCAAGUGUGCACCACACCUAAACCUAAAGCCUUGCCUAAGUCAAGCUACUAGAUCAAAGCCCCUCUUAAUAGUACGGUCAAAGGAAAACAAAGUCCUAAACUACUCUAAGUGCCCUUUGUUGGGUAUUCUUAACAUCAUUACUAAAAGUAGACUAAGUUCUAAAUCUAGCAACGGUGCCAAAAAUGCCAAACCUAUCCCUCACACCACUUAAGCCAAGUUGUCAUCCCCAGCAUGAUAUAAGAGACGCGGUAUUGAAAUAUGCAAUUGCUCUUCUAAAUAAAUAAUGAAUGGGAUCUGCAAGCGCACAGAUUAAUAUCGAUGCAGCAUUUGAACCGGGAAGUAUUCCAGGUAUCGUUAUUUAUAUUUUUACCACUAGGAAGGGAUUAGUCAAUCAUCACUAUUGAUUACAGAAUAGAAUAUGAGAUUGAGCAUCUAUCAUUGCAUGUAUAAUUGAGAACAUUAUAUCUAACUCAUCAUACAGGGAUAAGUGUCACAUAAAAGAUAUAUGAAAUAAUAAUAGUGACAAGGAUAACUAAUCUGAUCUAGCCACAUAAUAAAUAUGAUAAGCACCUCAAUUAGAUACUCUAGAAAGUCAUUAGCAUGGUAUUAGAACGAACUACAAGAAUAUUCCCUAAGUUAUUCUCAACUAUAUAGUCUAGCAUAUCAUAGUUAGUGCAAGCAUACUUAGCAAUCAUUGCGAGACAAGACUACGCCCAUGCAUAGUGAUAUUAGCAAGGAAUAUGAGAAACAUAGCAAUCACUCCCCUGUAAUAAUGUUGCUCUGCCAGCCCAAUACACGAGAGGGGGACUAUAUAAGAAUCAAUGAAGCUGUCACUAUCACGAACUACCCCACGAUCUGACAUAUUGGGUACAAUCGCAGAUAAAUACGGUAUAAGCACCACGCCUACACAAUAUCUAUCAUUUACCCAUGGAUCCGAUGGAUAAACGCUAUACGAUCCUAAGCAUGUAUAUAGAUCGUAUCUAACUAAGCCAAGUACAUAACUAUGAUAAACUAAGAACAAUAUAAUCUUGAAUAUAAGCAAGUAGAGCAAAGUCAUAAGCAAUAUAUUGAAGUAGAACAAAGUCAUAUUCAUAAUAUUGAAGAACAAAGAUAAUUAGAAAGCAAUUAGAAGCACAAUUAGAAGAUUACCAAGAAUCCUCCUGACAGAUCCGGAAACCAAUCGAAGAUUGACUCCUUCUAGUUCUAAUCCUAUGUAGCUAUGCUAAUCUAGAUAUCUAAUUGAUGUGGUGGCUCUAAUCUUGAUCAGAGGCUUCUUCUCCCUUGAUGGAACAAUGAAUUAGGGUUGAGAGGCUCUCUCCUCCAGGGUCAGUAAAGUAACGGCGUACCUUCUUUGAGGGGAAGUGCAUAUGGACUUCUCCGGUUCCAAUAUUGUGGGGGGAUAGACCCCUAUACCCUUACGGCUAGACUUGGGCCAGGAGGCUUGGCCCAUUACGAGACGAGUUCAAGGCUUGAUCCGACAGCCUGGAGUUUCGCGUAAGGAAGCAAGAUGUGGAGAUCAAGCAGGAUUCUAGUCGGUUAGAACAGGAAUUGAUAUCGAACUAUCUAUGACAAUUGUAACCGACUAGGAUUAGUUUCCAGAUCUGUAACCCUGCCCUUCAGACUAUAUAAGGAGAGGCAAGGGACCCCCCUAGGACAUACGAUUCUCUCAACACAAAUCAAUACAACCAGACGCAGGACGUAGGUAUUACGCCAACUCGGCGGCCGAACCUGGAUAAAAAGCUUGUCCGUGUCUUGCGUCACCAUCGAGUUCGUAGUUUGCGCACCGUCUACCGAUAAACUACUACCGUGGGUAUACCCCAAGGUAGACUGCCGACCAGCUUUCGUCGACAGUGGCGCGCCAGGUAGGGGGUGUGCGUGCAACUUUUCCGGCGAACAAGAUGGUCACGAUCCCAGCUUCCGCGACCGUGCCUGAAGGCCUCACGUUCACCGUUGGCCAGAUCACGUGGACGACGUGCAGCGGCGGCCUCACAACCACGGUUUCGAAAGAGACCCGGAUCCAAUCUGAGAUCACGCCGUCUCCGACCACACACGUGGCGGCACCGAGCGCCCGACCACCGUUCCCGCUCUACAAGGGAAAGAAGAUCGACAACUCGGACCUUCUCCAAGCGCUUGAUCGCGCUGACUCCAAGCUACUCGAAGUUUCCCCACUAGUAGACGGAGUUCUGCGUCGGCCCGACCAAGCUGCUCCAGCGGAUUUUUUCAAACCCCGCUGGCCAACUCGUGUCGCCACACACGAACGGUUGGGAACGUCUCUGACGAUAACCUCAACACCCUUAGGACGAUCCGUCGAGCUCAAGAAGGAAGAUUAUCCUUACGGCCUGAACAACUCGGCCUCUGUUUACUCACAGCACACCCAAUCCGUUUUCAGCAAGGCGGUUUGGUCGCCGACAAGGAACGAUCGUCACUACGUCAACAUGGUGACGAUCCGAGAACUACGGGACGGCCAGGUUUCCAGCACCAACUCGAGCACCGGUUCCGUCCUCACCGAGGUUAUAAACACCGAAGACGAGGACUACGACCUGGAUUUUCCUUCACACCCUCCGGGUUUCCCCCGAUUCCCGAUAUUUCCCCCCCGGCGAGGAGAUAUUGUGUUCAAUGUCAGCGCCGACGAACCGGUCGUUGAUGGAGAAACAGAUGACCAGAGGCAACUCCGCGAACAGCGCAACGCCGAUCGCGCCCGACGACGCGCAGACGAGCAACAACAAAUGCUACCAAAUAAUCUCAACGAUGCCUUUGACAUGGUCGGGGACCAGCCAAUCUACAAAACGCCAAGGGCCAACGUGGUUGUCGCCAUGGCUAACCUAGAUCGGCUUCCUGAUACCCCCGAGUGCCAGGGAGUCCGGACCAGCAUCCGAGCACACCUGAUCGCUGCAAUGGGACAGACAGCCACUCUGCUCAAGAGAGUCCAGGACGUCUCUUAUACGGAAGCCGCCUCCGACCAGACUAAUCGUAGCCGGGCCUCACCGUCUCCCAGCAGGCGUCACCGCAGCCGCUCUCCCGACAACCGUCGAAAGGACUCACGGCGCGACGAUGGUGGUCGGGACGCCGACGGUCGCCGCAAGCAGAACCGCGUACGCGGCCAAGAAGUAAACCAGCACAGGGAUCUCCGCCACAACAUCCCUCCCAAAGAUGCCCGGGACCGCAUCAACAGGCGCGCCACAGAGAGAGCAGUCCACGAAAACCUGCGCUGCAUCGAGCAGUCCACACCAGUACGUCAGCCCCACCGACGUGGUCCACUCCAUUUUCGGGGGCAAGGUCUCCAUUGAAUCCAAGCGAGAAAGAAAGCUGUUAAAGAGAGCCUGCCUCAACAUAGACAGCACGGACGGGCUGAUCGCAGACCCAAAAUUCCCCCCGUGGUCCCACAGGGAGAUCUCGUUCAGCAGGAAGGACCAGUGGGCCGCUAUCCCAGAGCCGGGUCGUUUCCCCCUGAUUCUGGACCCUUGCAUCAACAGCAUCAGAUUCGAGCGCGUGCUCGUGGACGGGGGAAGCCCCAUUGACAUCCUCUUUCGCAACAGCCUGCCCGCCCUCAAGAUAUCUCCUGCACAACUAAAACCUUACGACGCCCAAUACUGGGGGGUUUUGCCGGGUCAAAGAUCAGUGCCUCUCGGACAGAUAACAUUGCCUGUCCAAUUCGGCACACCCGACCACUUCCGGACGGAGUUCAUCAACUUCGUGGUCGCCGAUUUCGACGGGACCUAUCACGCUAUACUGGGCCGACCAUCGCUGACAAAGUUCAUGGCAGUCCCGCACUACUCAUACCUGGUCCUUAAGAUACCUACGGAGAAGGGUGUCCUAACCAUCAGAGGCAAUGUUUACACUGCGUAUACCUGCGAAGAGGAGAGCUUCAAGAUCACGGAAGCAAUCGACCUCUCAAUCCGCAUGGCAGAAACAGCAACUCAAGCCGCGCAACUGCUUCCCGACCAGCUCCGAUUACCUGAGCAGGAGACAGCCAGAAAGAACUCAAAAUCCAAGGAGCACAAAGAAGUACAACUGGUCGACGGCAGCCCCGAGAAGACGGCCCUCAUCGGGGCCAACCUAGAUCCAAAAUAGGAAGACGCGCUCGUCAGGUUUCUAAGGGACAACGUAAGCGUUUUCGCAUGGAAACCCGCAGACAUGCCCGGCGUCCCACGAAACCUGAUCGAGCACUCCUUAAAUGUCUCGAAGACCGCAAGACCAAUCAAGCAAAAGCUGCGACGGUUCGCUCGUGACAAAAAGGAGGCUAUUAGGACAGAAAUCACACGGCUUCUAGCAGCCGGAUUCAUAAAAGAAGUGUAUCACCCCGAUUGGCUCGCCAAUCCGGUUCUUGUACGCAAAAAGAAUAAUGAAUGGAGAAUGUGCGUUGAUUACACUGAUCUCAAUAAACACUGUCCUAAAGAUCCUUUUGGUCUCCCUCGCAUCGACGAGGUGGUCGACUCAACGGCCGGAUGCGAACUCCUCUCCUUUCUAGACUGCUACUCUGGUUAUCACCAGAUUUCGCUAGAAGAAGAAGAUCAGAUCAAUACAUCUUUUAUUACACCUUUCGGCGCAUACUGCUACACGACCAUGUCUUUCGGACUCAAAAACGCCGGAGCCACUUAUCAAAGGGCCAUCCAGCAAUGCCUCCACGACGAGAUUCGUGAUGACCUCGUCGAGGCCUAUGUGGACGACGUGGUCGUAAAAACAAGGGACGCGAGCACCCUAAUCGACAACUUAGACCGAACUUUCAAGGCACUCAAUAGGUACAAGUGGAAGCUCAACCCCAAGAAAUGCAUUUUCGGCGUUCCUUCCGGUCUACUGCUCGGCAACGUUGUCAGUUGCGACGGCAUACGACCAAACCCUUCAAAAGUAAAGGCGGUACUCGACAUGCGACCACCGAAGAACGUAAAGGAUAUCCAAAAGCUAACCGGAUGUAUGGCCGCCCUCAGUCGCUUCAUCUCAAGGCUAGGAGAAAAAGGCCUCCUUUUCUUCAAACUAUUAAAAGCGUCGAAAAAAUUUUCUUGGACAGAAGAAGCCGACACCGCAUUCAACCAGCUUAAGACCUUCCUCACUUCACCACCUGUCCUUACAGCGCCUCAGCCCAAUGAAGACCUACUCCUUUACAUUGCUGCAACCGACAGGGUUGUUUCCACGGCAAUAGUGGUCGAGCGAGGUGAACCAGGUCACGCCUACAAGGUCCAGAGACCAGUUUAUUUCAUAAGUGAAGUCUUAAACGUGUCCAAGGCCAGGUAUCCACAAAUACAGAAGCUCAUAUACGCCAUUCUAAUAACGUCAAGAAAGCUGAAGCACUACUUCGACGGCCAUCGAGUCCUGGUGACAACCAGUUUCCCUCUCGGGGACAUCCUGCGCAAUAAAGACGCCAAUGGCAGAAUCGUGAAAUGGGCAAUGGAAUUAUGUCCAUUUUCCCUGGAGUUCCAGAGUCGCACCACUGUCAAGUCUCAGGCCCUGGUCGAUUUCAUUGCUGAAUGGACGGAUCUCAACGAGCCUUCCGUUCCUGAUGUCUCAGACCACUGGUCAAUGUUCUUUGACGGGUCCUUGAACAUCAACGGUGCCAGCGCUGGGAUACUGUUCGUAUCACCCAACAAGGACAAACUGCGCUACGUCCUUCGGAUCCUUUUUCCGGCGUCAAACAACGUCGCCGAAUACGAAGCAUGCUUGCAUGGCAUAAGACUAGCCGUUGAGCUGGGAGUCAAGCGCCUCUAUGUUUAUGGCGACUCCGCUUUGGUCAUCAACCAGCUCAACAAGGAGUGGGACGCAACCCACGAGAAGAUGGAUCUCUACUGCAAAGAAAUUCGCAAAUGGGAAACCAACUUCUACGGCAUAGAGUACAUCCACGUGGUCCGGGAUAAGAACCAAGCAGUAGAUGCGUUGUCGAAGUUAGGCUCAUCUCGGGCCCAGAUCCUGCGGGGUAUUUUCGUCCAGGACAUCCACGAGCCGAGCGUAGGCUCCUCCCUGGUCGACAAGCAACCCACCGAGGCAAUGCUCAUAGACGACGCCACUCCGACAACCGGUGGGCGUGACUGGCGUACCCCGUUCAUCAAAUACAUAUCGGACGGGACAGGCCUUCAGGACAAAACAGAGAACGAGCGCCUCAUUCGACGAUCAAAGAACUACAUCCUGGUCGACGACAAACUCAUGCUGAAAAACGCAAGCUCCGAAGUACUGCUCAAGUGAAUACCCCAAGAUGAUGGUAUCAAGCUCUUAGAAGACAUACAUGCUGGAUCCUGCGGCAAUCACGUCGCAUCCAGAACGCUGGUCGGAAAGGCUUUCCGAGCAGGUUUUUAUUGGCCAACCGCGGUCGGCGACGCAGAAAAACUGGUUCGACAUUGCGAAGGAUGUCAGUUUUUCGCUAAGAGGACCCACGUACCUGCCCACGAAAUUCAAACCAUCCCGUCGUCUUGGCCCUUUGCUUGCUGGGGGCUUGACAUGAUCGGGCCAUUUAAACCAGCCCCGGGCAAUUUCAAGUUUGUUUUCGUGUUAAUCGACAAGUUCUCCAAGUGGAUUGAAUACAUGCCUCUGGUCAAGGCAACCUCCGAGAAGGCUGUGGAGUUCCUCAAUCAAAUCAUACACAGAUUCGGCAUCCCGAACAGCAUAAUCACCGACCUGGGCACUCAGUUUACUGGCACCACUUUUUGGGACUUCUGCGAUGACAGAGGCAUAGUCAUAAAAUACGUGUCAGUGGCACAUCCACGUGCCAACGGUCAAGUUGAACGUGCUAACGGAAUGAUCGUUGACGCCCUAAAGAAAAGGUUGUACAUCGAAAACGACAGAGCACCCGGUCGAUGGAUGAAUGAAUAGCCGGCAGUGGUCUGGGGCCUCCGAACUCAGACCAGUCGAAACACACGGGUGUCUCCCUACUUCAUGGUGUACGGUUCAGAGGCGGUCCUGCCGUCUGACAUACACUUCGGAUCUCCUAGAAUCGAACACUUCGACCAGGCGACCGCCGACAACGCCAGAGAACUCGAAAUCAAUUGCAUGGAGGAAAAGCGUUUAGAUUCUUGUCUCCGAACAGCAAAAUAUCUCGCGGCAGUCAGGCGAUACUACAACAGGAACGUCAAGGACCGUUCCUUCGUGGUCGGCGAUCUGGUACUUCGAUGGAAAACAAGCUAGGAGGGAAUGCACAGGCUAUCCACUCCCUGGGAAGGACCCUUCGUGGUGACCGAGGUCACACGGCCUACGUCCUACAGAUUGGCAUACCCAGACGGAACACGAGUGCCUAACUCUUGGCACAUAGACAAACUGCGACGUUUCUAUCCAUAAAGUUUUAAUAACUUUCCUUUGUAAGUAUCUUAUAAUUGUUAAUAAUGAAAUUCUCUAUUUUUUUUUUCCUAUACCUUGUCGCACACAGCACUUGGCAAAACUUCUGCAAUGGAUGCUCUUAACGACUACCAAGACGAAUACGGUGACACGUCACUCAGAUAAUCUUACAGCGCUCAAAACAACAGUCAUGACAAAAAGCAAACUUUAUUACAAACUUUACAUACAAAGUUUACAAUAAAUACCCUAACGGGCAGACACUAGUCUAUUCCUACAGACUACUCUAUUGGCCUAGCUGCUCGGGCUGAUCACCCGCCUGGCCCUGCUGCCCGGACGAAGGGGUCGGGGCCACCGGCGCCUGGCUGGUCGAGACCGCAGGCGUCGACCGCCCAUCUCCCGCAACGGACGCGCCCGACAACUCCCUGGCCGACCUAUCUGAACUCGGCUGGUCUGGGGGAGUGGCCGUUCCGCACAGAUUGAUGUCGCCGAUCACUGUCGACGACAAGUCCAGCAGACUACCCCGAAGCUCGUCCGCUUCCUGUGGGCCGACCUCCUUCGGGUACCCCUUCUCCAGCCUGCUCAAGUCGACCAGGGGGUAGUGGGCGCGCACCAUGCUGAGGACGUGCGCGCCGGCAAACUCCCCGGCGUCCUUCACGAACUGCUGGAGCCAGUCCCACGCCCGUUGCGCCUUCUCGACCGGGGUCAACUGUGGCGCGCGGGGCUGGCUCUUCGGGAGCUCGGGACUGAUCAGGUCUAGGACCGGGGACACUCCUUUCCAGAUCCUGCAACAGUUGACCCUCCAGGAGUCCCGGUCCUUGACCAGAUCAUCCAGGUGCUUCUUGGCGUUCACCUUGAGCACUGCAAACGAAACAAAGCGUUAUUUUCGGCAUACCAAACAAACAAAGGGGCGACAAGCAGCAGCUAACAAGGCGGCACCCAUUACCAGAUAAUUCCCGGUCCUUUCGACCCAAUUCCUCUCCUGCUCGCCGCCCGGACUCCAGCGCACCGGUGAGCUGUUGGCUGAGCUGCUCCUUCUCUUGUCGGAGGCGCGCCACCUCCUCCUCCAAGUCUGCGUGAAUCAUAAACUGGUCAGUAAAGCAAACUACACAAGUACGCAAAGCUGCUCGGAGCGUGUGACUAACCUUCUUGCUGCCGGUAUUGGUCGGCCAAGCGACGAGUGAGGUCUAGACGAUGCUCCUCUUCGGCGCUCAUCUCGGCCACCUUCUCCCCGACUUCCGACCGCAGUCGGUCUACCUCCGCGGCCAGGGCCUUGUUCUCGGCCACGACGCCUUCUAUCUGGUCAAAGCACCGUUUCCGGUACUUUGCCGUUUUCAUUGUGCCCUACAAAGCGAACAUAUAACGACCAUGCAAGACAAGGCAUAGAAUGUAUAGCAGUACAAAAAGUCGCUUACCUUGACUUCGUCGACGAGGCGCUUGGCCGCGCGCUCCACCCUGGCGGCCUCCUCGGUCUCGGCGAGCUCUUCAUGCCCGAUAAAGUGAUCCCCGCGUUGGCGCCACACAUACACGUGUUGGCGGCCAUCACGGGGACGAC